rnacentral:lncRNA from 1 species
AGACUCUUCAUCAUCCAUCACUACACACAUCUCCUCUUGCAAACCAACAAAAAACCCUAACUAAGAGAUCAAUAUGGCUGGAGUGAUGAAGUUGGCAUGCUUGGUCUUGGCCUGCAUGAUUGUGGCCGGUCCAAUGACAGCGAACGCGGCUCUGAGUUGUGGCACCGUUAACAGCAACUUGGCAGGGUGCAUUGGCUACUUGACCCAAGGUGCAGCCCUUACCCAAGGGUGUUGUAAUGGCGUUACUAACCUAAGAAACAUGGCUCGUACAACCCCAGACCGUCAGCAAGCUUGCCGUUGCCUUCAAUCUGCCGCUAGAGCUGUUGGCCCUGGUCUCAACACUGGCCGUGCAGCUGGACUUCCUAGCGCAUGCAAAGUCAAUAUUCCUUACAAAAUCAGCACCAGCACUAACUGCAACACGUAUGUUAAUCUCUCACUCUUAAGUAUAUAUUAUAAAGAAUUUUUUUGUUGUUAAAUAUUGGAAACUUAUAUUGACGGUGUUAUGUUAAUUUGUAUGUGAAUGCAGCGUGAGGUGAUGAGCGACAGUCAAAUGAAGCUACUAGCGGAUGUUUCGAAUACUAUAUAAUCGAUGAGAUAAUAAUACUAAAUAAAAUGUUCGAAUGGCUGUUUUUAGAGUUUUAUAUUUCCUGUUUUUUUCUAUCGUGGCGUUUCUAUUAUGUUGUCGUCUGUACUCUGUACUAUGUUCGCAAACAACGUUAUAUGAAUUUCAGUUUCAAUUUAAGUUAUUCUAUACUCUUAUUAACGCUUACUUUAGUUUAAUCGAUAUGACAAAAAUGAUUAAUUUGCAAUACCGUUGGGGAGUAUCAAGUAUAACAACAUUUUGUAUUUAUUUGUGAUAUCGGGAAUCUCAAAACCAAAGUCCACACUAAUUUUUUGACUAGACAUAAAGUCAGAUACUAAUACUAUAGUUGAAAUGUACAUUCGAAAAAAUGACUUUCCGAUCCAAAUGUAAGUUAUUUACAUUAUUUGUUAUUAUAAUAAAAACAAUAAAAUGUCUAAGGGUCUAAAUGGUAACCAAAGAAUCUGACUGAAUCCGGCUGAAUUGUUGAAUUUGGCUGAAUUUUUAGUGAUUUUUAACUGAAUCUGGCUGAAUUUUUACAUUUUCAAAUGGUACCUGCUGAAUUUAGCUGAAUUUUUUUGUGCUUUUCAGCAGAAUCUGUCGAAAUAAUUAAGACUUUAACUGAAAUAUCAUCAAAUAAUUACGAAUAUUAAUAGAAUAACUAAGGAAAAAUAUCUAAAUAAAAUAAAUAAAAUUAUCUAAUAGUCUAAUUAACUCUUAUACCAAUAAAUAAAUACUAGAAUUAAUAUCUUUUUAGCAAAAUUGAGUUGUUCUUCCAGAUCUAAUUUUUGAACUAUUAAAAAGAUAUAAUUAAUUAAUAGAAAGCUUUGUCAAAGUUUUAUUGAAAAAUUAAUUUAAAAAUAAACAUGAUAAUAUAGUAUAGAUUAUCUUAUUGAUUUUUUAUUGUUUUCUAGCGGUUUAAAUCCUUAAUAUGAUUAGGAAUUUAGGAUGAUUAACAAUUUUUUUUAGUUUGAUAUUUUAAAUAUUAUUCUAGCAUAAGUAUGAGUUAUUUUUGCAAAAAUUUGGAAAAUUAUAUUUAAGUAUCUAAAAUUUAUUAAAAUUAUCUAUAGAUAUCUGAACAUAAAUAUGUCUCUUGUCUAUUCUGGUAAUGAUUUUAUGUGUAUGAAUGAUUCAUAUAUCGUAUUUGUAUGAUCUAACUUAUUUUAAAAUAUAUAUUUGAUGUGUAAUUUUUAAUAGCCAUAAAUAUUUUAAUUCGAGUUGUGAAUCGCUAUAAUCCAAAUUUUUAUCUGAAAUGAACAUACUAUGUAUCUGUUGAUGUUGGAAAAACUGUUGAAUCUGGCUGAAUUCAGCUGAAUUUAAUUAGUUUUAUGCAAAUGGUAACUGCGGAAUUGCUGAAUUUGGCUGAAUCUGACUGAAUAUUUUUUUCUUGUUACCAUUUACACUCUAAGUUUUAAAUCUUAUAUCAUUAUAUCCAAACAAUUUUUCACAAUUUUUUUAAUCCUCUUCUGUUCAUACAAUCGAACACAAUUUUUGAAACAAAUUAACCUUUGCAAUACGACAUCGGAUAGAAACUAAUUCCCUAUCAAUUGGGAAGUGACAUAUAAUUUUACAACAGGAAAUAAAGUAGGAGUUUCUCCAAGUUUGUAUUUUCCGAAUAAAGUAUUCUCCAAGUUUGCAAUAUUUACUGGUGAAUGAUAACCGUUUAAGACCAAGCAUGACAACUUAACUAAAGUUACUGUCACACUCUACAAAUACGUUAAUGAAAUGUAUUUUAGUAGAAUUAUCACUUUUCAUACGAUAAAGUUAAAUUAACAUGUCAAAACAAAAUCGAGGAGUGGUCCUAUACAUAGUUAGGAAUUAGGAACCUCAACAUUAAAUGAGUACAACAACCAACUACUCUCCUUCCCUCUAUAAUCUAUCGCAUUCACACCACAUAACAAAUACUUUCCUACUCUAUAUAAACACACACUCCCCUAACUCUCUUCAUCAUCCAUCACUCACACACAUCUCCUCUUGCAAACCAACAUAAAACACUAACUAAGAGAUCAAUAUGGCUGGAGUGAUGAAGUUGGCAUGCUUGGUCUUGGCCUGCAUGAUUGUGGCCGGCCCAAUCACAUCGAACGCGGCUCUAAGCUGUGGCUCAGUUAACAGCAACUUGGCACCGUGCAUUGGUUACGUGCUCCAAGGUGGUACCAUUCCCGCAGGGUGCUGCUCCGGCGUUAGAAACCUCAACAACAUAGCCAAGACGACCCCGGACCGUCAGCAAGCUUGCAAUUGCAUUCAAGGUGCCGCUAGAGCCCUAGGCUCUGGUCUCAACGCUGGCCGUGCUGCUGGAAUUCCUAAGGCAUGUGGAGUCAAUAUUCCUUACAAAAUCAGCACCAGCACCAACUGCAAGACGUAAGUUUAUCAAUAAUAUAUAAAUCAAUUAUUUAAGUGAUGUAAAUUUCCUUUACAUCAAUUAUAAGUAAUACAAAUAUUCAAAAUAAAUGAUGUAAAAUGAUUUUUUUUGUAGUGGAUCUCUUAGAUAUUAUAUAAAUUAAAGGGCUUUCAAAUGAAAAAGAAAAAACAAGAAGUAUAUAUAUGAUAUGCAACUUUUUUUUGGUUAAAUAUUGGAGAGGUAAUAAUAGUAACGGUGUUAUGUUAAUUUGUAUGUGGUUGCAGCGUGAGGUGAUGAGCAAGGUCAGAUGAAGCUACUAGCGGAAGUUUCGAAUCCCUAUUAUAUAGUGGAUGAGAUUAAUAUUAAAUAAGAUGUUCGAAUGGUUGUUUUUAGAGUUUUUAAUUUCUUGUCUUUUUCUAUUGUGAUGUUCUUAUUAUGUGUUGUCUGUAUUAUGUUCGCAGACAACUUUAUAUGAAAUUUCAGACUUGAAGUUUAAGUUAUUCUAUAUUCUUACUAAUUAAAGCUUUUGCCUAAGUUUAAUCGAUAUGAAAAAUGAUUAAUAUGCAUUACAAAUAUCGAGUAUGGCAACAAUUUUUGUUUAUUUAAUAACGGAAAUCUAAAACCAAAUUCGAGACUAAUUUUCGGAUAUGUGAAAAGCUAAAUAUUCGUCAAUAAGUGGGACGUGAUGGACCAAUUUAUAUAACAGGAAAUGAAGUUUCUAUUUCCACAAAAGGAUAUAAUCUCCAAGUUUGUAGUAAUAUUUAGUAGUUAUUUACCACGUGUUUAGAUAACCGAGAAAAUGAUGGAUUGCUUCCAUAAUUAGUGUUAAAACUCUUUAACUAAAUUUAUGAAUAACCAAUGUUAAGUUAUAGAUGUACGUACACGUGUCGAAAGAAAAUUAUUGGCUAUGGAAAAUUUGGUACUAUUUUUGUAGUGUUUGGUGUAUCUGCAUUUCGUCAUUACCCUCCUUACAUGGAAUUUUGUUAGAUUCUGCUUUAAAUGCCUUCACUUCUGCUUCUCCCAACCAUAAUAUAUUAAUAUUGAUCGAUGCUUGGUAGAUAGAUGGUAUUAUUGUCUCUCUUAAUGCAUUUUAAUUUUAAAUAUGUAAAAAAUUUCCGGAACUAUACCAAAAUCGACCAUAAAUUCCGUAACUGUCAAUAAAUAUCAACUCUAUUUUUCAAAAACUAAUUCUUCCAAAUUGUAAUGAGACUCUUCUUCUGCAGAGUCCCGGCUCAGAUGGUAGAGCGAAGGUGCGACGGUUCGAAACUUUUUUUUUAUAUAAAAAAUUUACAUAUAAAAAGGUCCAAAUAUUUUUUAAAAAUAUUAUUAAUAUGAAAAUUAUAUUACAAGAGGCCUAAUUAUUUAUAAGAAAAUGUAUAAACAAUAUUUUAAAAAUAACAAUUUUUACUAUAAAAAAUCUGUAAAAUUUUUAAUAAUUAAGUAAAUUUUCUCUUUAUAUAUAUUAAUAGGCCAACAAAAUUUUUUUUGCCCUAAGGCUCUCAUAUAUAUUGAGCGGGGCUGCUUCUGCAAACAAAAUAAUGUUGAAAUGUUGGGUUUUAUAACACAAGUCAGGUUUUUAGCUCGUUAGAAGUCAACCGGAUAAAGACGACCGGUUUAACUCGGUUUGGGAUUUAGAAAGACUCUAUAUCGCUCAGAGAGUCUAACAAAAACGCUUUCAAAUUUCGAGAUAUUUUCUUAGGUAUAAUUCCAAAUGUUACGACGUCGUUUUAAAUUUUUUUUUUUUUUUUUUUGUUGCGUUUAGUCAGUCCUUUGGAAAUUCCUUGCUUCGUAGUUGAAGCAUUCACGAGACACACACAGAGCUAUUGAAUCCCUAAGCUCAAAGUCUCUCUCAUUCUCUAAUCUCUUCUUCGCCGACGACUUCUCUCACCAAGGCGACGUUUUGAUCAGGCGAUGAGUAUCCCAAUGGAGUUGAUGUCCAUCAGAAACCCUAAUUCGACCUUGCUAUAUAGAGCUCAUUCUCGUCCGCCGGUGACGCCACCGCGUCCUCUCCUCCCUAGCCGACGCCAUUUCAAUGCUCCUCGAGCUGUUAUUUCGUGUACAGGGCUACGUUUCGGCUUUAGCUCGCCUUUUUGUCCAGAAGUCUUGCUUAAUCGAUCCGUCGUUGCUUUCGCUGCAUCCCACGAGGAUUUGGUGAGUAGUGUGGUUAUGCUCAAAACUUCUAAUUUCUGUGUUGGGUAUCUCAAAAUUUAGAUGCUUUAUCUUGUAAAUUACUUGAGGUUCGAAAAGAAUUUGACUUUGGUGAAAUUUUCUUGAUUAAGCAAAUAUAAUCUGCCAAUUUCAAGUGAGGUGCAAUUUGGGGAUUGAAAUCAAGCAUUGUUUAUGCAUGUAUAUAUGUCUUGACUAACUUUGGCUAACAAGUGAUCUAUGCUUAGCUAAAAAGACAUUGUUUUGAUUACUACCCUUUAUCUCCAUUGUUUGAACAGGAAGAAUCAGGUGUUGAGGUGGGGAAGGAGAAGAGUGAUAUAGAUGUUGAAGAUGAUACAUCUAAGGAAGCAUGGAAACAAACUCUUGAGUCUUUUAAAGAGCAGGUAUCAAAGAUGCAGAGCGUGUCAUCGGAGGCAUACUCCGUUAAUUCCCAGAAGGCGAUGACGGUCUUGAAAGAAACUUCUGAACAACUUAGGAUUCAAGCGGAAAAGGCGAAAGAAGUGUUGGGUACUAAAGCAAAAGUGGUUGGCGAGGAGGGUAGAGAAUAUAUUUUGAAAGCAGCAGAAGAAUCACCUUCAGAUGUGAAAGAGAUUGUUGAAGCAUUCGCUUCCACUGAGGAUCUGAAAGAUGUGUCCCGAGCGAAUGAUUUUCAUGUUGGAAUACCCUAUGGUAAACAUGUUUAUAUCUUGUUCAUCGUUUAUAAACUUUCAUGGUUCGUAAUCUAGGAACGGGAUAACAAUGUUUGUAUACUUUACAGGUCUACUCUUACUUGUCGGUGGUUUUAUUAACUUUAUGGUAUCGGGAAGCAUUCCAGCCAUCAGGUUUGGAGUCAUUCUUGGUGGAGCUCUUUUUGCACUGAGCCUGGCAAGUCUAAAGUCUCAUAGGAAAGGAGAGUCAUCUACUAAGUUCUUGAAAGGACAGAUGGGUUAGUAAAGUUUUUCAAUCUGUAUCAACUCUUUCGCAUACUAUUCACAAAGCUAGCCCCAAUGACUGAACUCUUGAUUUAACAACCAGAAUUGUGGUUUUGAUUAGGGACGGCAUUGAUAACCUCUCUGAUAUGCAUAUUAGCUAACCAUGAAGAAAUUAGUUAAAGUUGCAUUGCUGAUUUGUAUAGAAAUGAGGCUUGUUUCAAGAGAUACUUGUUCAAUCCUAGAUUUUGAUUUUAGUCAACAAAUUAUAUUUUCACCAAUCUGAUUUUUGAAGUUUUCCGACAUUUUUGUUUUGAGAUUAGAUGUAAAGCAUGUUUAGUAACACUCAUCCGUUGCCGUGUUCUUAUGUUCAACAGCUAUAGUGGCAAUCAUAUUUUUGAGAGAGUUGCGGUUGCUACUGUCUCAGGUAACUUUCACUGCUUAAAGUUAUAUUUCAAAUGAUUCAUAGAUUUGAACAAUGGCUUUGAAUGAAACAUAAUUCACUCUCCGUUUUCUCUUUUUACAGAAAUCGACGUUCCUAGGGUUUUUUACCACCCUUACGAGGUACACACUCAAAACCAUAUCAUUAUAUAUUUCCAAUUUCAUAAAAGAACACGAUAGGAAGAUGAUUGCAAGAAGUGUUUAUUAUAAUCCCCAAAGACUGAUAUUGUAAUGAAGAUUUAGUCAUACUUUUCGACCAAACUUCCUGCUAGAUUCAAAUGUUCCAUGGGGAAAAGAAAACACUUGGCAUAUUCUAAUGCUUAAUUAGGAUUCGUAUUAGCUUAAAUUUUGUUGGAUUGCUGUUGCAGUGGUGGUGUGUUGGCGUUUUACUUGUACAAGAUGGUAGGUAAGAGAGGAAAGGGACCAAACUUAGAAGAUGGAGGAGAAGAUGAAUCAGGCGAUGGGGUUGUAACAAGUGAAGGAUAGAGAAAAAUGGUAAGAGAAAGAUGUGUUGUCGUCAACAUCAGCAGCAUCAUAUAUCCAAACUCUUUUGAUGUCUCUUUUAGUUGUGUACAAUUUUUGAGAUCAAUCAUCUUCUAAUUUCCGUUGUAUUUGGAUUAGUGAUUAGUGAGUCAUUUUACGAUAAUAUCAACAAAAAGUAAAAGCGAGAAUUUUAUUUUGUUUGUCAAAAUCGUAUCCCCUGAUUCAUCAAAGUUGGCCCAAUAAGGGCCUGUUGGGCCCAAGGUUGAUGCAGUAAUAUCGGGAUAAGGAGAAAGAGCAGAAGCAAGCGUGAAUCUAGUACAUAGACCUAGCCACGUGAUCGAAACCGUUGAUUCUGCAAGGUUUUAACUGAAACCGUUGAUCGCUUUUGUCUCGGUCGUAUAAAAUAAAAUAAGAAGACAGUUUCAGUCCGUAAUCUCUAUCUUGUUCGUCGCGACUCAAACGAGGUUCCGCCGAUUAUUAUCCUUUUUCUCCAUUCUUGAGAGAUUUUGUUGGAUUGUUUUUGUUCUGAGUCGUCUUGGAUCUGUCGGUGUUGGUGCUUUGUUCUUGGAGCUAGGGAUUUGAGGGACGAUGGAAAGUGAUUUGAUUGGAUUGUUCGAGGGAGCUAAGAAGGCAGCCGAUGCGGCGGCUCUCGACGGUGUUGCUUCCUCAGGUCCUGAGGUUUCUCAAUGUCUCGAUGCCCUUAAACAGCUCAAGAAGUUUCCUGUCACAUACGAUACGCUCGUUGCGACUCAGGUGCGUUUCUGAUUAUCUCGUAACCCUAAAAAGAUUUGAUUAUUUUGCAUUUAGGUUAAAGUUUAUAUAUUUCUCUUUUUCUGUUGAUACGUUGUUAGAUUGGAGGGUUUUUCUGGGUGUUGCUUGCUUAAUCUCGUUGCAUUGACUUGUGUUGUUGACCUUAGAUUCUUAAUUAGGGUUAUUUGAUUUCAUCGGAAAAAGUUCACAUAAAUUUAAAAAGAUUUAACUUUAAAAAGCUUGAGCUAACUGAUUUGUAUGAGACGCCCCGUUGAAAUUAUUGAAACAAACCCAAUUUGGACAUUGAACUCAGCUUGACAUGCUAGGGUUAAGGGAAACAAACCCAAUUUGGCACUUGAUUUGUUUUACUUGAGGGUCAUCAAUGAAUCAAGUCAUGCGUUUUUUUUUUUUUUUGGUUGGGAAAUUGUAUUCAAGUGUUUCCUCUGGAAUGUUGAUAAUGUGUGUAUUGCUUUAGGGAAAGUUAUAUUCUUUUCUUGUUUCCAGGUGGGAAAAAAGCUGAGGUCUCUUGCAAAACACCCUAUUGAGGAGAUCAAAAGCGUAGCUACUGAUUUGCUUGAGAUAUGGAAGAAAGUUGUCAUUGGAGAGACAGCCAAGGCUAAGAAAACCGAAGGCACUAACGGUUGUAAAGCUGAAACUGUCAAAGAGGCUAAGGUGAAUAAGAUGGAUGUUGAUAAGCCUUCAAAUCCUGCUCCUGUUAAAGUCCAGAAACUUCAGAGGGGUGAUUCGGCUAAGAGUAUCAAGGUUGAGAGAAAGGAACCAGACAAUAAAGGCGUUACUGGUGUCAAGAUAGAGAGAAAGGAACUAGACAACAAAGUCACUAAUGGAACCAAGAUAGAUUAUCGUGGUCAGGCUGUUAAGGAUGAAAAGGUCUCAAAGGACAACCAAUCAAGUAUGAAAGCUCCAGCUAAGGCACCUAAUGCUCCUCCAAAACUAACUGCAAUGCUCAAAUGCAAUGAUCCUGUGCGUGACAAAAUCCGUGAGUUGCUUGUAGAUGCGUUGUGCAGGGUUGCUGGAGAAGCUGAUGACUAUGAGAGAAAGUCAGUAAAUGCUAGUGAUCCACUCCGUGUUGCUGUCUCAGUGGAAUCACUGAUGUUUGAGAAAUUGGGUCGCUCAACUGGAGCUCAGAAGCUUAAGUACAGAUCUAUAAUGUUCAACCUGAGGGACGGUAACAACCCGGACUUAAGAAGGAGGGUUCUCACCGGGGAGAUUUCACCAGAGAAACUCAUCACAUUGUCUGCUGAAGAAAUGGCAAGCGACAAGAGGAAACAAGAGAACAAUCAGAUCAAAGAGAAAGCCCUGUUUGAUUGCGAGCGUGGUCUUGCAGCAAAAGCAUCUACCGACCAGUUCAAGUGCGGGCGGUGUGGUCAACGCAAAUGCACCUACUAUCAGAUGCAAACAAGAAGUGCUGAUGAGCCAAUGACGACCUAUGUUACAUGUGUUAACUGUGACAACCACUGGAAGUUCUGUUAAGGAGAUCUCUGUGUGUCUUUGUAUUUCAUGAGACCAUGUUAAGACAUAGAGGCUCUGAUUGAUUAAUCAGGAGCUUCAUGUCCAUUUGCCAUCAUUCCGUGAAUGUUCCGGCUCCGAUGUUUGUUUUAAGGAUAUCAUUCAAUGUCUUAGAGAUUAGUAAGUAGGGGUAUUUACUAAUUUAGGUGUUUGUAGCUCUUAUUUCUUUUGCUUCUCUUCUUCCAAACUGUCAACUCAACUUUCUUGCAGAUUUUACCAAGUUUUGAAGUUUAUUUAGUUUCAGAAUUAUGUUUUUUUGUCUUCCAUUUUUUAUCAUCUUGAACGGCUGAACCUUCACAGCCUUAUGUAUGUGAUAUUGAUCGAAAACUAUCAUUAACUGAAACUGAUUCUGAUCCGAUUCCACUGCAAAGUAAGAAGACUGUUGAAAACAGAGAAUAUUGGGGAAUAGACAAGUCUGUAUUUCAUUGCAUUAGACCAUUUUCGCAUAGUGAUCUCGAAAAUUUAUUUGAGCAAGUAAUGUUUUUGUUUCAUUUUCUCUAUCAGAUACAGCCGAAGAUAUAUGUCAAGAUGUAUGACAAACAAUGGAUGCAUGACUUCUAGCGGAAUAUGUCCCAUUCUUCAUCAUCCAAAUCUCUCUUCUUUCGAUUGAAUCUAUUGUUUCUCCUUCGCCGUCUCCUAUCAGAUGAACUUUCAAGCUCUUCAACAUCAGAGUAUUCACUAUCAAACUGACCAUCCCAAAGUCCCUGUAUUCAAAAGUCUUUCUUCAAUAAUCCAUUCACGACUACAUGAAAAUCUCAAGGCAUGCCAUUACUAGGUCUAGACAUAUAUACCUACCUUAGUCAACCUCUGUUUUCUAGAAGCUGCAUCCUCAUGAACCACAACUAUAUCUUGUAAGACCUCGAUUAUGUCCUCGACAUCUAACCUGUAUGUACUCACCUGCAUUAUUACAUACCAGGUAACUAAUCAUAACAUUGAGCUAUUCCUAGAUUGAAUGCUUGUGCUUUGUAUCUCACAAAAACCAAUUCCAAUUUAUUUAGAAAAAGGGAUUCAAGUUACCCACCAGGCUUGAUGGUAUGAUAGUUACCCCGAAAGAAUCAAGCUCAAGCGAUUCAACUAUUCCCGAGUUAAUGUUAAAUGAGUAACCUCGAACCUAAAACCAAUCAUGUGCUUUCAGCUAAUAGCAAGAUAAAGGCAAAUAGACAGAUAUUAUUACUGAAGAAGAUCUUAUAAACACCUUUCCAAUGUUUCGCCGUCCUGGUGUCACUACUCUGUAACCUACCUAAACAAAAGAUGAGAAUUCAAUCUUAGACUUGCUUAAAGGUGGGUGAUUCACAAAACAACGCACAAAGAGACUAUUAUAUACCAGUGUUUCAAGUCCAACCAUCUUGAAUUCAGUAUCCAAUACAGUCUCAUUAUCAACAAGCACAACAUCACCUACCUACAGAGAUCUUAAUAUAAACCCUAAGAUGUAAGUAAACACAUUUCCAAAUGAAACCACUUUCAACAUAGGAGAAACCAAACAUAGCAGUACCCGGACAAUGUCUUUGAGCAGAAAUCUCUCAUAUUCUCCAGAUAACAAGCUUGGUUUAACAUCAACCACCAAAACCAACCACUGUAAAUCGAGAAACAAAAAUUUCAGAAUGAUGGAGCUCAUUGCACUAAAACAGUCUGGUAAAAGAACAGACUUGAAACUCGCUAGUAAUGAAAGGUGUGAUUGAAUCAAGAAGAACUUACGGAAGAAGUGUCAACCCAAAGCUGAGAGAUAAAUCCUAAACUCAGAGCUGAUUGUAUACUAAUAACUUGCUUAGCAACAAGAUUCGAUCUUGUCAUCGUCUGUUUGAAUCCUUUAGAGCCAGUGUUAGUAAGAUCAUUAUCACCUACUAGUCGAAUCAAAUAACUUUCUCCAGGUAACUCUGCACUAUCACUUUCCACUGUUUGAUGCACUACAUCUUCUUCAUUAGGUAGUGAUGAUGAACUCAAACAAAAGACGAUUCUAUUGCUCGAUUGCCCGAGAAAGGCAGAGUUAUUCGAAUCAAAAUAACAUUGAGCUCCUCUUGAUGAAGUAUCAAUUUGAUGGAUUGAGACGUCGUGACUCCUCCAAGAGCAAUUUAAGAUCGAAUGUUGAAUCCGUCUGAGCCUCCAUCUACAAUUUACUGAAUUGGGUUUCACCAGUCGAGCAUUGAGGACGGGAAGAGCAAGGGAGACGAAGGAAGAUGAGCAAUUGCACAUAUCUAAAGAUGUUUUUUUUUUUUUUUCUUCUAAAGUCUCAUUAAAGUGAGAGAAAGAACAAAAAAAAAAAAAAGGAGACUCUUUUAAUACAAUUGUUCGCUGCUGGUUGGGGAAGACGUCCGACUAAAAGAAAGGACUAAACGUUUCCCGUUCGGCGACCUCUUUCACCAUCGUAAAGUGAGCUUACCAAUCACGCAUUUCUCUUUUUUGCCUUCCAAUUUGAUUUCUUGUUAUUCCUCAAAUCAUUCAGAUCUGACUUCGUUAUCAUCGAUUUUGCUAGUUUGGAUGAGAUAAAGUUUGGAUUUUUUUUUGGUUUUGUUUUGAAUCCAAAACUGAUACGUUUGGAAGCUGGAUCAGGUAGGUAUGGAAGACGACAAGAAGAAGAAGAGAAACAAGAAAAAGAAGAAUAAGCCGAAUAAUAAACGUGUUGACGACGCUAUAGCUUCCGGUGCAACGACCUUCGCUGAUGAAAAUCAUAUCGGAGAUGGUGACGUUCCUCAAAUUAGCGAACGUCCAGAUGUCGAUGAGUCGCAAUCAUCUCAUCAGAUCAAUGUCGUCGCAACUGUGAGUUCUUUAUAUCUCUGACGAUCGAUUGGAACAUUGCUGCAUUGGAUUGAUGAUAGGACAUUGGGGUAAAUUUGAUUCAUUUCGUAGUUUAUAUGUCAAUGCAGUAGGAUUUUGUUGACAUAUUUAUGCCACAUUGUAUGAUUUGAUUAAAUGAAAUUUCGAUUCAUCUGCUGGAACAGAUCCUUUUACUAUGUGUGUGUUUACUUUAUUGUAACUGAUGUGUAGAGAGUUCAUUUGGUUUGUGUAGAGAUGGUUGACAAAAACUAUGGGAUAGUGUAUGAGCCGUCGUUGUCUGAUACUCUUAAAUCUUCUUGUUUCAAGCAGGAAGAUGAUUCUGGUGUUGAGAACAAGUCUCAGGGAAGUGAGGUGAGAUUUCCUACUGUGUCUUGUAUGUACAUUCUUUUUUUUUUUGGUGUAUGCAGAGUAGAUAAUUGUUCUUUGGAAUUUGAGAUAGGCUAAUAAAGAAGAGAAAGGUUAAAGAAGAACAACAAAACUAUGUUGUUGUAUGCAGAAAGAAAACUUAUCAUUUCUAUCUAUAUAAAUUGGUUGAUAAAUUUUUAGUUAACAGUAGUAUAUUUCAUCUUUCCUGAGUGAAAUAUCGACAAAUUUUCUUCCUUACUGCCAUGAAGAGUCUGUUUUUUUUCUAUCUUUUCACUUGGAUCUCAAUACUAGUUUGUAAUGCUGUUGUAGGUGCUGUUGGAAGAAACAAUCAAACAGUUACGUGAGGAAAAUGGUUCCUACCUUCAGAAAGAGGUGAUAUUCUCUUCUCAAACAUUUUUUUAUCAUAAAGAUAAUCUCUCCAUCUAGUCAUGAUUUCUUUCCACAGUUGAAUAGUAAAGAAUGAAUUCCUUGUCUUGAUAGGCUGGUUUUGAAGAAAAUGUUAGACGCUUGGAAACCGAGAAUGAAGCUCACAUUCAGAAAGAGGCUAGUGAAGAUUAGAUUAAAGCCUUUUUCAUUACUUUGCUGUUUCCUUCUUCAUCUGCAAGCUGAAAAAUAAAAAUAAUAUGGUGUUUCACAGGCAUUUUUAGAAGAAAGGCUUGUGCAUUUGAAAACAGAGAAUGAAGCUCACAUACAAAAUGAGGUUGGUGAAGAAAUAACAUAAAUAAUGAGGCCGUAUCCAUAACUUUACUAUUUUGCUGCAUUAUCUGCAAGCUAAAGGUCAAAAUAACAUUAUGUAUUACAGGCACUGUUAGAAGAAAAGCUCUUGCAUUUGAGAACAGAGAAUGAAGCUCACACACAAAAUGAGGUUAGUGAACAAAUAGCAUAAAGCCCUAUCCCUAACUUUACUAUUUUGCUGCAUUAUCUGCAAGCUGAAGGUCAAAAUUACAUGGUGUAUUACAGGCAUUGUUAGAAGAAAAGCUCUUGCAUUUGAGAACAGAGAAUGAAGAUCACAUACAAAAUGAGGUUAGUGAAGAAAUAGCAUAAAGCCAUACCCCUAACUUUACUAUUUUGCUGCAUUAUCUGCAAGCUGAAGGUCAAAAUUACAUGGUGUUUCACAGGCACGGUUGGAAGAAAGGCUCUUACAUUUGAGAUCUGAAAAUGAAGCUCACAAACAAAACGAAGUUAGUGAAGAAAAUUGCAUAAAGCCGUAUCCAUAGCUUUCUUAUUUUUUUAGGAUCAUCUAGAAGUUGGAGGUCAAAAUAACAUUGUAUUUAUGCAGGAAAAGUUGGAGGAAAGACUUGUGCAGUAUAAAAACAAGAACGACAUGCUUCUUCGCGAAAUGGUGAGAGAUCUUCACAGUGGGAUCAUUUUUUUAGUACUACAGUUUCUCCUUUGUGUGAUCAUAUGAACGUUCCUUUUAUCUGUUCAACUUGGUUUGUUUCCUAAUUAUCUCCCCAGUAUGUAGAUUAGGACCUACUACCGGUAUUUAGCAUUCUAGACUAGGACUUGGUCUUAGCUUACGUGAAAGAAAGUCAUGUUGUCAGGACAUAUCAGAUCGCUAUAGAUGUUACAUUACAUUUCAUAUGCCUGAAGAUGCUGUGUAGUUCUGACAUUUAUAGAAAUUUGACAGUCUAGUACAGAAGCCCAAAUGAGACAAUUGCUAGAUGAAAGAUCUACCUUCACUCAGAAAGAGGUAUGUCUCCAUUCAUUAGAGAUAAGAGUUCCAUCUUCUUCUGUUAUAAUGCAUUCUCGUUGAAUAAUCUUUGUAAAAAUUGCAUGAUUUCAAUCAGGUGAGUCUAGAAAAGAAAGUUCAACAACUUCAACAUGAUGAAGAAUCCUUGGUGGCUGAGGAGGUAACUCUAUCUUACACUAUAAAAAUCUUGGUACUCAUUUUAAGUUGAGUCUCCUAAGAGUUAGAAUAAGAUGGGCAUGUUUUACUCAUCAUACACAUUUAAUCCUGCAGAAGUCAUCCAGAGAAAUGAUAUCUAGCCUGAACAAUGAAAUUGCAAGGCUACGAGCACAGGUAUGUGUCUCAUUAAACUUAAUUUGGUUUUCUCAUUUCCAAGGAUAGUUUACGAAAUUGCAUCUGAACACGUCACUGUAGCCUCCUAAGUGAAUGUUUAGUGAUUUACUCGUGUAAAACAGGAAGCUACUACGCAUAAUACUGCAUAGAUUUAGUCUGAUAUGAAGAUUAAAACAAAGUUUGGCAGGUUACGGAGUUGGAAGAAUCUAAGAGUAAUCUUCUAGAGCAGAAUCAGAGUCUUAAGGAAACUGUAUCCAGUCUUCAAGUCCAGCAUGAAAACCAUGAUAGUAACGCAAAGGUUAGACUUUGAAUACUUCCAAUAUGCAAGAACCUCAGAAAUGCAUGAAACGGUUUGUGAUGGUUGAUAUAUUAUAGGGUGCUUCUGAGGAAGAAUUAAACUCUCAGAUUGAAGCAGCUUGUACUCUAGUGGAAAAGCUUAUCACUGAAAAUGCUGAACUUGUUGAAAAGGUAAGUUGUACUACUAUAGAUCUUACUGAGUAACUUUGUUUUGGGAUGAUUGAAAAUCUUACUGGUUAUUAUUAUCAGGUGAACGAGCUGUGUAUUAAGCUAAACCAGUCGCAGCAUGCUUCCCCUGAGAGCCUAGCAAUUGAAGUAGAGAAGUCUGAAUCCUUAGAAGAAAUACCCAUACACGACGAGUUGAUUAGAAUUGAUAACUCUAAGGACAUGGAUACUGCAUUGAUAAAGAGAAACUUGUCAGAAGGCGAAAUAGAAGAAACGGUGCCGCUCUCUCUGAACGCGAAUGGGGAAGUAGACGUGGAAUCACAGGUUGUAGUAGCUGGAGAAGACGAAGUAAGUGCUGGUGUGCCUCUGGCGGACGCUCCACUUAUUGGUGCUCCGUUCAGGCUCGUCUCGUUUGUAGCAAGAUACGUGAGUGGUGCAGAUUUGGCGGCAAAGAAAUAGUUUUUUGGUAAAACUCAACAAUACAUUGGAGGCAGAGAAGAUGCAUCAUCAAAUCUAUCUGUCUCCCUCUCUCUUUUAUAAUCUAAAGGGACCUUACCUAGAUACUCUGAGAAUCAUUGAUUAGCUCUGCACAACAUUUACAGUACACAAAUGUUUAUUGUAAUUUUUUUGAUAGGAUAACGAAUUGAUGAUGAUGAUGUUGAUUACUGUUGCUUUGUUCUCCUUUUUCAGAAAAUCUUGAAAGUUGAAACAUAAAUCUUAAGUACUUGAGCAAAGACAAGACUGAUGUAUGCAACAAACUCAAUGAUCUUAAAUAACGUAACUAAGACUAUAUCCAAUCUUCGGUAAAUUCCAACUCUUCAGUAUAGUUAAUAGCUAGGUGCGAGAGAUGUACAUGCAAAGGUCAAAGGAAAUAAGCUGGUCCAGAUUAUUUUUCUUCAAAGUAGGAAGGUAAAAGUGAAGCCAUGGAAAACAUAACAUCGUUAAAAGCCUAACUAGAUUCUAAAGCCCACGAUUGGCUUAGCUUUAUUUAGGGUUUUUGUGUCUUCAAUUGGUGUGUGUUGGUAUACUAUCAUUUCCCUUUGCCGCAUGAUAUCAGAGAAAGAAAAAACAAAACCAUUGUUGCAAUUUGAAACAAUGACGACCAUGAUCUCUAAUCUUCCGACGGUUUUGAUAGAGGAGAUUUUUGUUAGGGUUCCUUUGAAAUCUUUGAGAGCAGUGAGAUUAACUUGCAAAAGUUGGAACACUCUAUCCAAAAGUAGGAGCUUUCUGAAGUUGUACAUUAGUAAAACAGCAACAAGAGAAGAGGAGUCCAUGAUGAUCGCUAUGAUGAAUUUCGAUCUUUAUUUGAUGAGGGUCGUAGUUGACGACGUUGAUCCAUCUAAAGCGUUUAAAAAGAAAAGAAAAAGAAGAAAGAAAAAAGAAUCUAUAGCGUUUAAACGUAAACCUUGUUUCCUUGAUGAACAAGUCAAGAUAUCUCAAGUCUUUCACUGUGAGGGUUUAUUGUUAUGCAUCUUGAAAGAAGACGAUACAAGGGUUGUCUUUUGGAAUCCGCACCUCGGAUAAUAUAUAGAUUAUUUCCGAGGAGCACCCAAAAAAUAAUUUUUUUGGUAUGAAAUUUACGAUUUUAAAUUUGAUUCAUGGACAACUCUUGAUGUUACUCCACACUGGUGUAUAAGCUGUGGUGACUGUGGUGUUUCUCUCAACGGAAACACUUACUGGUGUGCUAAAAAAAGGAACGCAGAAGACGAUAUUGUCGAUAACAUCAUAUGUUUUGAUUUUACAAGAGAGAGAUUUGGGCCGCUUUUGCCUUUGCCGUCUAGCCUUAUAUAUGGAUCAUGAGUAUGAAAUUGUAACUUUAUCUUGUGUUAAAGAAGAGAAGCUUUGCAGCUUUAUUUCAGCAUUACGAAUCAGAUUGGAAUGAGUUUGAUAUAUGGAUUACGACUAAGAUUGAUGCUGAAAUGGUGUCGUGGAGCAUGUUCUUGAGAAUGGAAACGACCUAGGAUAGACGUUCCACAUAUAUGCGACGGUUUCUUCAUUGACGAGGAGAAGAAAAUUGCCAUGGGUUUUGAAGAAGAGUUCUAUCGCAAAACAUUUAUCAUCAUUGGAGAGGAUGGAUAUCAAAGUACAUGUAGACAGAAAAUGUCGGCCAAAUGUGUGUUUUUAUGUUCCAAGUUUGGUCCAAAUCAAGAAACCUGCACGAGGGAAAAGGAAAAGACAAAGCAGCUUUGAAAAGCGUCUAUUUGACCAAAACAUGUUGAGACUUGAAGCAUUUAAAAAGCUAGACUUCUUCUAGAAGCAAUAUGCAGGAGGAGGUAGAAGUGAAAGGGAUGAGUUUUUUUUUUUUGGAUAAUCUGUGAAUAUAUAUUACCUUGAAAAGGAAAGAGUUAAUUACACAGCCAAACAGGCAGAAAGCUUCAACGGCCCAAAAAAAUUAAAAAGCCAUAUUGAAACACAUAUUACCAAAACAGAGAAGAGUUAAAUACGAGCAAACCAUUGGGACAAAAGUCUUCCGCAGCCUUUCCGGUAUCUACGAGAAAGGAGAGUGUCUUUAACAUUCCUGUCAAUCUGGGCAAAGACCAUAGGGACUGAACAAGAAACUGAAUUAUGCAAAUAAUUAUUUCUCUCGCGCCAUAGAAGGUAAACAGUAGCCUGAGUACAAAUACGCUUCAGGGUUGUAGAGACAGAGGAACAAGUGGGUUGUCCUAGACUCCUAGUCUAUGGAGGACAAGGAACCAAACCUGUUCAGAAAAAGAGCAAUGAAGCAGUAGGUGAUCUCUGGAUUCUUCUUGCAAAUUACAGAGGCAGCAGAGAGAAGUAGUGUUUAAACCCCAACUAGCGAGUCUUGCACGAACAGGAAGUCUAUCAAGAGUUGCGAUCCAAAAGGUGAAAGCUUGCUUAGGCACAGAGCUCUUGAACCACACAGCCGGAUACCAAAAUUUCCUGAUCUGAGAAGGCCUAAAGAAGUUCCAAGUGGUCUUAGUAGAGAAAAAAGGUUUCCGCUGGUUAGGCAAACCCCAAGUGAAGCAGUAAGGACCCCUUGAGAUACAAGGAGGAGGAGUGGCAAUUAGCUGGUUUCGGAGAUCAAUAACGCUUGGAUUCCUUGACCUAGCAGAGGGAAGGAUCCAACCAAGAUUACCGCAAACAUCUGCUACAGUGGAAUGAAGAGGAAUGCCUAGACGACACGGUCCAGAAGUUCCAAAAUGAUCCCAAGAGAAGACCAAUUAUCAAACCAAAAGCUAGCCGUACGACCGUCACCAAGUUUGCAACCCAUAUAUAAGAGCCUUUGCCAUAGGCCUCAGACCCAAAAUGAAUUUCCAAAUCCAACUUGCAUUAGUUUGGGAAUCCGUUGACCAAAAACCAUACCUCUUUAAGUAGUUUGGGAUGAGUUUGCUUCAAUAUAUAAUUUAUUAUGUUACAAAACUUCUAUUUAUUUUAUCAAUUACUUUGUUUUUGGCAUGUACGUCAAUGGAUUUUUGAACUACAAUCUGUCGCACAAAGCAUUUUCUUAAACAUUGUCUCACACAAUAAACUUUUUUUUGUAAAGAGAUAGAAGAAGAAAGUGUUGCGAGUGGCAUUCAAAUCUGUGAAAAUUCAAAGGGACAGGAGAACAUGAAAAAAAUAUCUAAAGGAGUGUUAAUGAGAUGAGAUAAUUGGUUAGUGUGCUUAAUGGGAAUGUUUUAGACUUUUAGCUGAAGUAUUGUUUUUAAGUUUUUAAUGAUUAAAGCAAAGCAACUCUUAACGGAAUUGCCACUUUAGUAUCGUUGACAACUCUUAGUUUCCAUUAGACUAGUACGUACGUGUCAUCCACUUUUAUGUUGACAAACAUUCCUUGUCAGCAUCCAAUCCAUAUAUGUAUGUAGUUUGGUCGGUCCAUUUUUUUGUUGGUUUGACAAAUUUGUGCCCAAUCCCACUAAUUUCUUGAUAAUUAGCAAUAAGGCCCUCGUAGCUAAGAAACUAUACGUUUAUCCUUUUGUGUAUUGUGGGAGACACUUACACAUGUAACUAGUUGAACCAAUACUAGAUGAUCAUUAAUAAAUAGCAUGGCUCUCGAGUGAAACCCUAAAACUUGGGUAGAUUAUUGUACCAUGGAAAUUGCUUUUAAGCGUGGGUGUAUCAUCAAUAUAGAUAUAUUUUAUAUUAUAUGUGAGAAAAAAACUAGUGAGAUCAUCCACUUAAGUGUUAUAUACUAACUAAAAGAUAUCAUAUGCGCCACUUAGUAAAUGCCAAUGAUGUAUUAUUAGAGAUAGUAAAGGAUUAUACGUGAAUGUGUUCAGUGCUGGUCUGUGUUAGUGAAUAUGUUCGGUGCUGGUUUUGACCCCAUUUCAUGAAUUUUUAUAUAUAAUACUUUUGCUUACCUCAUAAUUAUUAAGUUAAUUGGUCGUAAAAAUGGUGCUACUUAGUGGAUGAAACCUCAUCCAGAAUCUUCUACCGAACCAAAACUCUUUAAAUACUAAUCUAUAACACGACUACAUUACUAAUUAAGCUGAUCCCUGCAGCCACCACAUAAUAGGUAUUUUUACUCCGAUCUUCACUUUUCAAGCAUCGUCACUACAUUCUCUUCUUAGCAGUCUUCUUGGUAUCACCAUUGACUCAAUACAACCAAACUCUCUUUGUGUCAACUACUUUUCUUUCGUUUAUGUUCUUUGGCGUUGGUUCUGUUUUGAAAUAAUCUAAUAAAACAAAGUGUUAGGCAAUGGUGUAAAUGAAAGUAAAGGUUUCAUUUUCUUUUCUUAAAUUUUUUAGCUCUUUGCACAAAAAGAAAACAAACAAAAUUUGCUUACUCUCUAAUCAUGAUAUUUACCUAUAUUUUGCAUGAAACCCUCAAGGGUAGCUAGAGAAAGCAGAAGAAUCAAGAGCAAUGAUGGAAAAGUGUAGGAGAGAGACGUUGCUUCUCAUUUUCCUAACAAUAUCAUCAGUGGCAAGCGGCACAAGUCCAUGGAUGCCGAUGGACGGAAAUUAUGGUACUAGUUAUUGCUUAAGCUGGAGACUAGCAGUAGAGACCAACAAUGUACGUGCGUGGCGCAUUGUUCCUCUGCAGUGUCUGCAUUACGUUGAGGUAUAUAUGCUUGCUGGUCAGUAUGACAGAGACGUCCAGUUGACUGUGGACCAAAUAAGGGUUUAUCUCAAUGAGAUAACCCUCCCUGGUGAUGGCAUGGACGCAUGGAUCUUGGAUGUUGAUGAUACUUGCUUCUCAAAUGUCUUUUACUAUCGCCUUAAGAGAUAUGGGUACGUACACCGGUACACACUUGUUUCUUCGUACUAAAACUAAUUUUAACAUGUUCUGCUUUUUGGAUACCAAAAAUUAGAAUAUUGUGGCUAAUGAUGUGUUAACAUGUAGAUGUGACCCUUAUGAUCCAACCGGAUUUAGAACAUGGGCGAUGAAAGGAGAGUCUCCAGCAAUACAACCUGUUCUUGAAUUGUUCAAUAAACUGAUAGAAACAGGCUUCAAAGUUUUCCUAAUAACCGGAAGAGACGAAGAGACCCUUCGUCAGGCAACAGUAGAGAAUUUGCAUAACCAAGGAUUCACUGGUUAUGAAAGGUUGAUUAUGAGGUAAAAUGAAGAAGCAUACUUAUUCUAAAGUUGUUUUACCAAGACUAAGUCACAGUCAAUGAGGACAAAUAUACUACGUAUAACUUGCAGGACAGCAGAUAACAAAAGACAAAGCGCAACAACAUACAAAACAAGAGUCAGAAAGGAAAUGAUGGAAGAAGGUUACAGGAUAUGGGGAAAUGUAGGCGACCAAUGGAGUGACUUACAAGGAGAAUAUACAGGGGAUCGUACCUUCAAGAUUCCUAAUCCUAUGUACUUCGUUCCCUAAUCCCGAAUUUUACUAUAACCAUUUUCUACCUAUCAAAUACAUGUACAACAUACACAAAGGGUAUGUCUCAACUUAAGUUCUGUGUUAAGAAGUUAGUUUCUCCUAGUCCCAUCCAAAACCAAGAAGCCCUUACCACCCAAACUGAAGAGACAAGCCCAUAAAAUCCCAAAAAUGGAUGAAAGUAACUAUCACCAAUGAAUCUCAAAUCAAAGGAAUAAGUAAAUAUGGUUCAUAAGUUCAAUGAUGCAAUUUCUUCACAAAGACUUUUGAAUAUGCAUUAUAUCCAUUGGGCUAGGCAAAAAAUAGAAUGUUUGAAAGAACAAAAUAAACCAAACUUUUACAUAAAAGUAUCAAAAAUCAAACAAUAAGAAUCAAUCCAAUAAAUGUGUUUUUUCGUUUAUGUUUUUACAAUAAGAAUUUCAGUCCACGCCCUUUAGCCUUUACCCUCCCAAGGCAUCAACAUCUUUUUCUCCCUAUAUAUUAUAUAUAUCUCAUACCUUUUUUCCUUAAUUUUUUUUUUUUUUUGCAUGAAUAUUUUUUAAUAAUCUGUAAUGAAUUUCUGAUGAGGAAAAAAAACAAAAAUGAAAAUAAAGAAGAAGAAAAACGAAAGCCACAGGGUCGCUCACCCGAGAGAGACCAGGGCAGGCCUUGACCAGACCACCACCAUUGCAGCCACUACUGGAGAAACCAGAUAUACACAUGUGCGUCUGUGUAAUGCAUGCAGACAUGUACUUUUGGUUGAAGAAACCAUUUUAAGGCUUAAAGGAGCGUUUUGGGCGAGACAAACAAAACGCUGCUUAGCAUCCUGUUUUCGGGCGUUUACCACUUGAAUUGAAAGGCGAAACGCUUCCACCGCCACUUGGCCCCGGACUCUCUUCCCUCAGGUUGUUCGAGUUUAGCAAUGCCAGUUCCCUCAGCUGCUGUCUCUUUAUGAAAUCUUGCGAUUCGUCCUUCAUUAUUACAAACAAAGAAAAAAUGUUAUGUUACUGAGAUACAAAUUUUCAUAAUAUGCUUUUCCGUUUGAUAACAAAGAAUAUAUCAAAGACAUAACAAUGAAGUGUUUGAAAAAAUGAUGGCUUAUUUUUUGGCGUUUGCGAUUACACCAAUUGCUACUUUGACUGGUGUAGUGGUCACACAUGUCUGCAUAAUUGAACACUAGCCACAAACUCCAAAAAAUGGUACUGAAAUACGAACGCUAAGACAAAGAAUAGAGGCCCUACAGGUAAUAACUAUAGAGUCUCAAUGGGGCAAAACAGCUACGGAAGAACCUAAAAUAAAAACGUGUCCUUUCAAUUUAAUACCCUCCAAGGAAGACGAGACUAUUCUCUUAAUGCCUUGUACUGAUAACCAAAACAUAUCACAGAAAAAAUGAUUGAAAGUAUUGGAGGAGGAAAAUGUGUGUUACCACAGGCUUUAGUAACUCUUCUAUAAUUUCUUGAGCUUGUCGCAGACGUAUCUCCACAAUACUUGCUGGAAGAUCUGCCUCUAUUAAGAUGUGGAGCUGCUCAUUCAGGUGUUCAUAGCCCGGUCUUCCCCUUAGUUUAUCUUCCUACAUUGUAUCAUCCAAAUACACAAUCAUACAACAUGUUAUUCAAUACUCUUUUAAUUAGCAGAACAUCAUCUCGGAGCCAACCAGUAGGUUAAACUGUGGAAGUGUUUGACAAAGUCCCAAAUGGUUCAUGGAUCUCACCUUUUCGGGAUCCUUGAUUGACCCUUUCCCUCUGAUGAAUACACGACACCCCGUGGUAGCUUCAACGCGUUUUAACGAGUUGCCUCUAGGGCCGAGAAGUCGUCCAACAAAAUUGAACUGAUAAAACAGAGGAAAUAAGAAUGGAAAGUUGAGAAAUAUCAUCAUAAACUAUGGAGCAAAUGAUGAGUAAACACAUAAAAGCGACUAGAAAACCUGAGUACUCACAUUAGGAUAGUUAUCUACAGGAAUCUCCAGACGCAAUAUCCUUUUGACAGUGUAUGAACUGGGGCUUCCAGGAGCACCUUGCCAAUCCAUUGUCAUUCCAGGUGUUCCACUAAGUCUCUGCAAGAAACUGAGUGUUUUAGCUUAUCUCAUCAUGCUUAGCAGAAGUACUGGUAAUAUCAAUCAGUAUUGCAAAAGCCAUAAGCUAAAAUUAAUGAUUCUAGUACUCUAACAAAAAAACUAAGAACUCUACACAACAUUAGAACAUGGCAUAAAACAGAUCACCAACUAUACAACUGUGUCACUGAAGAAUUCAGGUAAACUGAUUACUUAGUGCUAUGAAAGAGGUUGGUCGAGAUGAUGAUACCUCCUGAGAGAGGCCGUUCCAGCCACCUAACCCGGUAUUAGAGACAUUAGACAUAAGAUUAGAAGAAGCCAUAGGGCUGGGACUUCUGUGUCGAAGUCUAUCAAAAUCACCAAAUCCUUGGUUAGACAUCAUUCCAGAUACCCUGAACAUCUCUGCAAAUCAAGAAAGAUUCAUAUUAUGCAAUGGACACUAAAGGCCAGUACUAAAGUAGGUAAUGCUGGAUUCAAUCAGACAAAUUGAAGAAAUCAAAUCAAUGAACUUGAUCUCACUCUCUUGGACUAAUUGAAUUAACUAAAAUUGAACAUUUUGUAAGAAAAUUGGCUGAGAAAAAAGAAAGAAAUGUAAGGACUUAAAGUCAUCCCAAUCUGGUGAAAACAUAAAGGGUAUAUACACACACUUUAACAGAUUCGAAUCAGAAUCAAAAUCUCAAAAAAGGACGAACCUUGAUUCAAUAGACGGCUACAUAUAGGUAGGACCUGCAUAAAAGGAGUAAGCUUUUGAUGUUCUGCGAGAAGCUCCGUCAAGUACUGAGAACUGUUCAAGCAAGAAACGAAAGAAACAGAUCGGUUUUCACAUAAAAACCAAAUAAAAGAGUGUCUCGAAACCAUCAGAGGAUUGGAACAAACAAACAAACCUGUCGAUCUCAGGAGUGCUUCUAAUCUGAGGAGAAGCAGCUCGAGCAGGAGAGAAGUAAGAGGAGUUGUUGUAUAAACCAGACAUGGGUCUUGUGCUUUCUUCUUCUCUAGCCCAAACCAAGAUUGUUGGGAAAAGGGUUUUGAUGGAAUCGCAGAACCAAAAAAGUAGAGAGAGAGAGAGAGAAAGAGAAAGACCAAAGCCAGCAGACACCAAAUGUGAUUUCUGCAGGAAAGACGCCAGACUUUUUUUUUCCUUCUUAUUAUUAUUUUUUUUCUUCUCUCUGAAAAAUCUCUUUUUUGUUGCUUUAAUUAAUUUUCUUUACAUCAUUAUGGAAAACAAAAAUGAGAUUUUUAAUUUAACUUCAGGCAGAAAAAAUCAGCUAAAAGUUUAAAGUGACAGAGUGGAUCUCUCUGUUACAAAGGUUGAAAUAUUUAGUGAUUAUUUUUUGGUGAUAAUUCAACCGUCACCGUUUGAUACUGUAUAUGAAUAAAUAAAUAAAAAAAAUGAAAAAUGUAGAGAGAAACUUUGGGGUGUGUGCGUGACUACGUAGACCGUAUCUUUUAACGCCGCUAAAAGUGUACACGUGUCAACCAUGCAAUCGCUCGUUAGAGCUGUCUUUUUGGCCUCGACAUUUUUGUUAAUAAUUAACAAUAAAUGUGUUUCUGCAAUUUGUUCUAGUUUUUUUUUUUUUUUUUGUAGGGUGGUGAUGAUGAUUUGAGUGGCCUUUACAUGAUCAAGACUCUAAUGUAACGCACAAUAAAACAAAGUAAUUUACUAAUUUCGUAUUUUUGAAGAAAAACAAAUGGAUAAAAUGGUGUGUUAAUAACUUUUAUUGACCCUAGUAAAUCAGUAACGGUUGUUCACAAUCAACUUUAAAGUCUUUUAACUCAUUUUUUGGCUACCAUUUUCUUUCCCUAGUCAAUAUGCCCUAUCAUUCAAUAUUAUUUUUGUUUUCUUUUUUCAUUAUUCUAAUUUUCUUUUCUUUUUUGGUGGACCAAUACUUUUUUUUUUUUAAUAAUAAACAAUAAUGCCAUUGUUUAAUUUCCACAUGAAACACACAAUUUUGCUUCUAACCGUGUUUUUUCCUUUUCACUUUUAUCUAUUUCCAUUACAACUAUUUUCCCUCACCCAUUCUAAAUUUUAGAAUCCCUUAAUGUAAAUUACAUAAACUGAUUUUAUGACUUUGUGAAAUUGCAUGACUUGCACAUUCUACCAUAGACCUAGAAUUAUUGAUAAAGUAAUUGCUCUUUAGGUGUUUGAAUCCUUAUAACUAAAUUAUUAUUUUUUGAAAAACUUAUAACUAAAAUUAGCUUCAGAAGUAGAAGCAUAGAUCUCAUGGUAUUGUUUUUUAUUUUGUAUUUUGUAUUUUCUAGUGUUUAAUUAAGUAGUAUAAGUUUUCAUCAUAUGCUUCACGGCAUGAUCAAUAAACAUGUUUCAGUUCUUCACUUCCAAAUUCAUUCUGUCAUCCCUCAUAUCCAUAGACGACUUUAGAUAGAAGCAUAACAAACAUGGCUCUUUGGACUUUAAUAUGGUUGCGGCUGCAAGGAUAGAUGAGCUUGGCUUUUUGUACCCAGAACUGGAUUUGCAUCAAAGAACUCAUAUGCAUAGCCAUAGGUUCCAUUCUAUUGUUCCACUAAACAUUCAACAUGAAUACUAUUGAAAUCUAUAAAUCCCACAUUGAACUUCUCUAAACAUACUCUAACCAAAAAUCUUAUAUAUCUGUUUCUUUUUUAUAAUAAAAAAAAAAAACAGAUUAAUUUAGCCAUAUCAAUAUCAUAAAGACUCAAACUCAUGAAAUUUAAAAUGACUUUUGACUAAUAAAAUAAUAUUGGUAAACGUGUGAAGCGUGCGAGGGAUUCAAAGCCUGAAGGAGCGGGAAACACGAGAGAAAAAAAACGUUAACGUUAAAGCAAAGAGGCGCCUUAAUUUUUACCAGAUCUAAAAUCGAAUAGGGGCUUAGCGUUUAUAAGACCCAAACUCAAUCACCAUCAUCAAUCUUCUACAAUCUCAAAUCAAAUUCUCAAUCAAUGGAGAAGUACGUGAAGCUUGAAAAAGUCGGUGAAGGAACCUAUGGAAAAGUCUACAAAGCAAUGUUUGGAUUCUGAAUUAUCGAUGGGUGAUACAGGAACCAGUUUAGGACUUUAGCUCAUUAGGUUCAGUUCUCGUGAACUCAUUUAGAUUACGGAGACUGUCUAGUAUCAAUAUAUCUUAAUUAUGGUUUUGUUUUGGUUCUGGAGAUUGUUAGGAACACCAACUGAGCAGCAAUGGCCGGGUGUAAUGGCAUUGCGUGACUGGCAUGUCUAUCCAAAGUGGGAGCCGCAAGACUUUUCACGUGCUGUUCCAUCUCUAUCUCCUGAAGGAAGAGAUCUUCUCACGGUAAUGCUCUUCUAAAAUAUGAACCAAAGAUUCUCUUGCAUACUUGAUCUCUUUAGUAGAUUCUUUCUGUUGUGGUUCCUAGCUGAUGAUAAUUCGUUUGGAACCUUUGAAAAAAUGCAGCAAAUGCUAAGGUACAAUCCAACAGAAAGAAUUUCGGCAAAAGCAGCUCUCGAUCAUCCCUACUUUGACAGCCUUGACAAAUCUCAGUUCUCUUUCGGAGUUUUGAAGCUGAUGGCUCAAAUUUAUUGUCAUCAUCAUCUUGGUGUCUUAUGCUGUGUGCUUAAGAGAGAUUUGUUCUUAUUACAUAACAAAAUAAAAAGCUUGUUUGUUCAAUUGAAGAGAAUGCAAAUGUUUUUAGCAAGAGUGAGAUUUUUCUUUAAGUGGCCAAUUUUAUUUGUUGAUGUAUACAAAUCUAUCAAGCAAAAAUGGUUCAUUCUCGCUAGCAGACAAAUCAUAUUAGUGUACAAAAAUGGGAGCCCAAAUUUGAAAUCUUUGCUGCUUCAUUACAACCACAAUUGCUGCUCAAACACAAGUAAAUUACAGAUCACAUGAUAUUACACAAUUGAGAAACAGAACAAGAUACAGAGAUCUCCAAAGCUAAUUAAUGUUAAAAAAACAAAUGAUGAGUAGCUUCAAUUAGACCAGACAUGGAGAAAGCCGUGUCUGUUUCCUGUGUAUAUUUCAUUCCGUUCUUCGUCGUAGAAGAGAGCGGUUAUGUCUUCCAAAGCCUCAGCAACCGCACUUAUCCUUCUAUUGGAGUUCCCCAUAUCACUACUGCUGCAGUCUUCUUCCUUAGGAGGGCCAUUAUCUGCUUUUAUCUUAGCUAAGCAUUUACCAGUCAAGAUAUUGCUUAUGUUAAUCGACCCCGCUACAUCAACAACCAAAAUCACAACAAUGUUUCAAUAGCACAACAAAAUCAGACCAUUUCUAUAUGAGGUUUCUUGAUUUGAAGAGUGGAUAAUGAGUCUGCUUACCAUUUCCUUCUAUCCACUGAUCUUCAGUAUCUGCCUUGCAAUAUGAGAUGAUCAGAUCCUGAUCGCUUGUUAUGUAGAUAUUGUUUGUGUUACAGUCUGGAUGCCAAAGAAGAUGAUCCUCAAACGAGGUCACAAGCUCUCCGCGGAAAUUCCACACAGAAACAUUUCGGUUCCUGAAUGUUAGAAACAACUGGUUCUCAUACAAAAAUAUGAAUGCUGAUGGUGUCAUGAAUUCAGUUCUGCUAACUUCUAUCAGCUCAGCAUUUCGAACCUUUAAGAACAUAUAAAACUCUAUUAGAAACAUAAAAAACACUAAUACAUAAAGUGGCUUGAACUAAGAACAAAACCACUCACGUCAAGUAUUUGGAGAUUCUCGUUCUCUUGCUUAACUAGAAGCUUUUCAUUGAAUUGUUCAAUGAAAUCAACUUUCUUGUUUCGGUGAAGCAAAUGAUUGAAGGACUUGAGAACCGUGCCAUCUUCGAUUGAUAGAAUCUUCAAAGGAACAUGACUCACAGCUCUCUUGAAAAUCAACAACAUUAUCCCUGGACUGGUGCACGUAAAAUACAUGCACAAGUUAGAGUUACAAGUCUUCAGUCCAAUCAAGAACACUUCAACAUAGAAAGAUGUAGUAGAAAAGCAACCUGAUCUUAAUUUCCUGUACAUUUUUGUCUGAUACCGAGUAUAACAAGGCAUAGUUUUUGAGAUCAAACACCUUGUAAACACUGCAGAGCAAGACUGUGGAUCAGUUGAGAAACAUCAAGUCAACACCUUUUGAGUAAUGAAGACAAGAAAAAUACCUAUCCUGUGCAGAAUAUGUCAGCACCUUCCCAUUAACAUCAUCAAACUCUACAAAACCUGGCCACUUUAGUGACUCAGACUCAAAAAGAGGAAAUCCUGCGUCUGCUUGACCCCUCAGAAUAUAUCUAACAAUACACAAAACAUUACUUUCACAAGUCUGAGAACUAACUUAAGAAGCCACAACAACACAAGAGUAGACAUACUCGAUUCUAGUGGAUCUGCAUUUCAAAGAGCUGUAAUUGUCAGAGGCGUAAACAGAAACAGUAAUGAGAGAAUCAUUGUUCUUGUUGUAGAACAAACUCCGAAUGACUUCAUCAGGACUAACAUUUAAAAAGCAAACCCUUUUAUUCGUCUCUGCAAUUACAUACAAACAAACCCAUCAAAUUACAGUGACACACAAAGCAAAAAAGCUAAAAAAGUUAGUACCUCUGCUAAAAGAAGCACAAACACCAGAUAGAGUAAGAGCAAAGACAAUGUCUCGAGCAGCAACAAUCUCAAUAACUUUGCUUCGUUUCAACAAGUUAGGUAAUGAUACUAAACAGUAUCCUUUAGGAUCAUGCGUGUCAUAUUGCUCCUGAAUUCAAAAUCAAAACUUUCAGAAAUUGGAGAGCCAAAUUAAGGACUUUAAGAGAGAGUCUGAUACAUACCACGAGACGCAUAUUGCGGAAUCUCUCUUGAGCGGUGCUGAUUGAGAAAGCUCGAUCCAUACGAGAAGAGAUUUCUCGGCGUUGAAGCUUUUUAACGCUAUUGACGAUUCCGUCGGGACGAGACCUCUUCUUAGCAACAACUCUUUUACUACCGCUACAAGGUCUAGGGUUUGCUAUGAUUCUUCUUCCUUCCAUCAUUCAAGCUUUUGCUUUGCUUUUGAUUCCAAAGUGAUGAUUUUUAGGGCCGAAGAAGAAGAAGAAUCCGUAACACUGAAGAGACUGCAACUGUUGCAGCAGCAAGGCUUAGGCUCCAAUGGGCUAACUGCAAAAUUUUCACUUUUCAAUCUGAAUUUCUUAAGCAUAAAAUAAAAAUAUCAUAAGCCUAUGAUAAAGUUUGGCUUAUGAUGAUAUUUUUCUGAAUCUACAACAUUAUUGGUUUUUCUAAAAAUCAGGUUUUUAUGAUCGAUUAUUAUUUUUUUAAUCGUGUCUGAAGCAUUGUUCAAAAAAAAAAAAAAAAAAGUGUCUGAUCUAUCAUUUUUUGAAAUGGUUAUGCCUUUUUGAUGGGUUAAUUCUCUGAUCUAAUAUAACCAAGAAGCCAAAUAAAUAAACAACGAUUUCGACACAAACAUUGAAAACACUAUGAUUAUGCGGUUUUACGGAUUUGGUAUGAAACCUUAAUUAAGACGGUAAGACCAAACAAAAAGGUAUGAUUAUGAAACCUUGCAACCUUAGCAUAAAAUUUCAGUUCGCAAUUUUGGUAUAAAAUUACAAUUCGCAAUUUGCCGCAAAACCCUAAUUUCGGAAUUUUUCCGCCAAAUCACAUUUUAGCGCUUAAAUUUCAAAGUCACAAUUUGACACUAAAGUUUUAAAAUUAACUUUAGCGCUAAAUUUUAGUUUUAAUUGUUUUUUUGUCUCAAAUUUUUAUUAAUUGCAUAAAAUUAUUUUCAAACAAAAAAUCUUAUUAUGCGAUUUUGUAUUUUACACUAAAUUCUUAAUAGUCCAUUUUACUUACCAUCAAGAUCUUGACUUCAAUGUUUUGUCAUAAAGAUUGCAAAGAUAUUAUUAGUGUAAAUUUUAUAUUGUCAGAUCAAAAUUUCAACGCAACAAAUGAUUUUGGGCUUCCAACGUGGUGCGAAAAUAGAUUAUGUGUGUUUAGGUGUAAAAUCUCACUAUGAUUUAGACACUAAAUCGUGAUUUGGCGAUUCCAUUCUCCAGAUCCAGUUUAAGAACUAGACGGAGAAUUCAGGUGCAGUGUAGAAUCUAUAUCAUUCGACAUAAAUUUUGAUAUUGAUUAACUAGUUCACAAUAAACUUUAGAAACAACUCUUUUUUAGCAAAUAGUAUGUUAGAGAAUUUGCAACGAAACAUUUAUUAAAAAGUUAGCAAUAAAAUAGUAACAAAAUUAGACAUUUAUUUUUCUUGUUAACUUAGACAUCAAACUCUCAUGACCGACAAUUAUUAAAUAUAGCCGGCUUAAUCAUCAGCAUCUUUACCAAGCCGUCACUGUUGAAUCGUCUCUAAAAAAUCCAUCGAUAAAUUGAUUGCAUCUUUGUAGCACCAUCAAAGGCCAAAAUCAAAACGAAAAAAAAAGUUAUAUAUAUCUAUGUUUUUUUUCUUUCUUUUUUCUUGAACAUUAAAAGUUGUCUCUGUUGUUCAUGUGUACAUUUAGGAAGGAACACAUCGCAUAAAUUACAUAAACAAAAAGGAACUAAUAUACACGUAAAAAUAAAACCUUAAAAAAAAAGAAAAUCAAGAAGAUCUAAACAUUUGGUCGAGGAUGAUGGUAAGUGCCAUGGCCACACGAGGCUCCAUCUCUGAUUCAACUAUAAGCUUAAACACAUCUUUGCCAAAGGCAACUCCUCCGAUCACCGUUUCUUUUCUCUUGAUCUCCGCCGUUUUCUUCUUGUUCCUCCUCUCGUCCAAUAUUUUGCAGCUUCUCUGACUGUACGAUCCUUCUAUCUCGUACAACACCGUCUUCUUCGCGCUAACCCACGCCAAGCUCCUCCGGUUUGUUAAUAUGUUAACGUUCUUUCUCGCCGUCAAUAUUGGGUCUCUCUCUGUUUCUCCAUCGUAUACCAUCCAGCAAUCUCCAAGACUCAACUUCUGUUCAAGUCAAUACAAGCAAGGAUACUCAAGAUUAGUUUCAUAACUAUUAAUGAAAAAAAUACCGAAAAAAGAAGAAGAAAAAGUACCUUGCGGCGGAUAGAGAGGAGGGGAAAGCCGGAAGCAUCCAUAAGGACGAUGUUGUCUCUAGGACAGUUCAUGUAGUUGUCAACCCUAAAGACAAGCUCUCCAUUGGCGUUGUAGACCGUGAAUCCGUCGCAGUUGAAGAGAAGGGACUUCUUCCACACUGUUAAAACCACGGCUGCUUUACUAUCACACAAGCUCUCGUCGCAUGUGUUUGGGAAUUUUGGGUGAACUUUUGUCAUCUCUUUUUGUUUGUAUUCUCUGUUGUGUUUCUGUUUUGUUUUUUUGGCUUUGAUGAUUCUUGUUUGGAGAAGAUGAGUUGAUGAUGUUUGUAUGUGAGACAAAUGAGAAGAUGUCUUUGGGUUUAUUUAUACAAAUGUGGAAAGAGAAAGAGAAUGUGGUUCUCAAAUGAAAAGAAUGGUCUCUCAUCUUCUUGUUUUCCACUAGAGAGAUAUCCUUUUCAGUCUAUUACUAUAAGAUAUCUUCUCUUUAAUGUAGGUCCAUUUUUAUAUGUAUUAAUGCAAAUUAAUGGAUUGAUUCCUUUCUAUAAUCAAAUAUUAUAAUAACGGUUUUCAUUCACCUAAACUCCAACAAAAUAUUAUAACGAAACCUUGUUUUUUGAUUCCUGUUCUGACCAAUAUUGGCCCUACAAAAUAGCUUAUGGUCUCAUUAAUAAUAUAAAUUUGACACUAACUCUAGUUCAUAUGCUCUAGCUUUUAAUGAAAUUUACAGAAAUUAUACUAGCUAUUAGUAUAUAUUGUUGGCUAUUGUUUGUUCUUUUAGCUUAUAAAUUAAAAAAUCAAUAUUUUCAAGGCAAAUUACAGAGAUAAAAUUAGGGGUUUUCUAAAUAUUAUUAUGGUUGUAUUAACGCUCUCUUCUACUUUCAUUUAUCAUUUGUACGCGUUAAACGUUUCUCGAAUCUUUCUUUUCCCUUACAUUUUCGUUGUUAUAUAUACUUAGGUAGAGAAUAUAAUUGUGCUCACUACAAUAAAAGAAAAGAAUCUAUAGCAACGAAAAACCUACGGGCCAUAAUCCAUCGACAUUUCCAGUGCAUCUUUUUAUAGUGGGAAACAGGAGUCUCUAUUUGAAAUAUUUUCCAUGUUUUUAUACUACUAUUUAUGCAGGAUUAUCGUUUUUAUUCUCCAAAAAUUGAACCGAAAGUAUUUAUUUGUUCCUUUCAACAACAGACUACAUGUGUCCGAACCGAAAGUAAUAUAUGAUUUAAACCAAAACAAAAAAAAAAAACAAGAAAAUAAAAAAGAAAGUGAUAUACGAUCUACUCUCUAAGAUAAUCAAUAUACAUAUUGUUGAUAUCAAGUUUUAAGGAUUUAACAUUAAAACCCCAAAAAAUCACUUUGUGGAUCAGUUUCUCGCAGGUGUCCGAAUUCCAAGAUUUCUGGUUAUGAGUUCUCUUAGUCCAAUUAUAUUUUAAACAUCCGAUAAUAUUUUUUAUAGAGAAAUCAAGCUUUAAUUUGAAUAAUUAUUACCAUGGACAUUGAGUCGAGGAAAAGAUAAUCUAGUGGAAGAAAAGAACGAGUGGUUAGCAAAGUUCAAAUAUAUACAAAAAAAAUAAUCAUUUGAAGCAUGGACAAGAAAUAUAACCGAGUAAAAAAAUCGAGUUUUGAACCAAUCUUUGGUUUUUAAUAUGACAUGAUGAAGGAGGACCACUAUAUCAUGAUUCAUGAUUAUAAAUAAUUAAACAUAAGGAGGUGUGUGGCGGAGAAGCAAUUAGCGGUGGGAAGAAAAAUAAAACCAUCCCAACAAAAGUUUUUAAAAUGAAAAGUUUUGAUAAUAUUUCCCUAUUGAUUUUUUUUCCACGUCCAUUGUUAUCAUGAGUAUUCCACUUACGUUGACCUCUUUUAUUUUAAAUUUCUUUCAUUAUCUAUCGUUUGUUUUAAAAACAAAAGAUUGCGGUGUCUGCGUCAUAUGUACAAAAAGUGAUUAAGACCUUUGAGAGGUAAGAGACGUCGUCCCACUUUCACAAAAACAAAUGGAUUGAAAAUUACGCGUUACACUUUGAAGAAUAUGUUCUCUCUUAGUUUCUCUUUAAUAUACAGAUGUAAUACAACCUAACAAUUCUGUCUUCCUACCAAAUCCGAUUCCUCACUCUAUAUACCAACUUAUUCCUCAACUUAGCUUUAGUGUUUUUGUGUUGUGAAAACAUUUUGCAUCUCGUACGUCAUCAUUAAAUGGCUAGUACAGUAUGUGAAUGAAGAUUUCUAAGUUAGAUCCUUUAACUAUGACUAUGAGACAUUUGAUUCCAUUUGAUGAAUAUAAUUACAUGAUUACUGAAAAUGAAUGAAGAUCCAAUAAAAUCAAAGAAUGCUAUACUAACACGUACACACUCUCUUUAGCCCCGAAUCGGUCAACCAUAGUUAUGGAACACUCUGAUCCUACUGUCCUAAGUUCUGUCACAAUCACAAUCCCUUUAAGUGCAGCUUAUAGGCGUUAACGUUCUGGAACACAUUCCUCAAGAGCCUCGACUUAGAUCCGCUGCUGGCUGUGGCAACUGCAUCUGCACCUGCUACUCCUCCAAGCUUCUCUUCCGGCCACGUUGUUUCUCCUUUCAUUGGAGAGAAACAGUCCAUUGGAAACAGAGCAAACCUUUGUCCUAAAUCAGCAAUGAAAGUGCAGACACUGUCCUCUUGCAACAGACAUUAAUGUCUGAGAUAAAUCCUUCAUGAGACCUGAUGGUUUUUGGUUUCUGAGAAGAAGCUUUAAAACUAUGGAUAAACGUACUGUGCAAACUGGUUCAGUGAGAAAUAGAUAAAAAUUCUUAUCGCCUUCUAUUUUGGUACGUCACAAAAGUAAAGAAUAACAAAGAAACUACAUGACAAAUUGGAAAAUAUAACGCGAGGAAAAGAAUGGCACAUCUCUUUGCCAAAAAUCAUAUACAACAUAACAAAGUUCUUCACAUUUUUUUUUAUCAUAUCAAAGCUUUUCAAAUCAUCGUCAUCACGUCUCUUAAAAUCAAUUUGGUAUCGCUUCUGCAUGCUCUUCUUCCCCUUCAGCAUUUCUCCUGCAAUGCAUUCGGGUUUAUUUACCCAAAAAAUUGAGAUGUCGCACUCUAAAUCUUUUCUUUUGCGUGUGACCUUGCUUCUAAAAGCAUUGGCCAUGUAGCUACUUACUCAUCAAGGAUUCACGUUACAGUCACUCAAGAACCGAUCUUCCCGAUUCAGAUGCUUUCUCCAAUAGUUUUUGUACUUUGGGAUUCCCAGCUCAAGCCACGGCUUCAUGUUCCCGUUAUAGUGUAAUAUGGCAGCAUUUUUUAUGGCUUCUGCAUUGAUGUAGUAGUCAUAACCAAGCCCUGAUAGAGCCCAUUUGUCGUCAAGAGCAUAAACUUGGUCUUGAAAUGUAAGCAAGCUUGCCUGCAAUGCAAUUGCUUCACUCGACUCAUCUCCACCACUCAUCUGCUGCACAUGAAAAAAGGAAGUCAUUGCACAGAAUCACCCAAUUAUCUCUUAAAAAAGGUUUUUCAGGAAACUGACCUCUUUAUAAUAUUUCUGAUAGGUUUCUGAAACACCCAAUUCCCUCCAUCUAGCAAGAUCAACGACAUUCAAACCAGACAUCCAGAGACAGGCAUUGGUAUCAAAAUUUCCUCUCUUGAGACUCUUUAGCUGACCCAAUCUCACAGUGCACAACUUCACAGCGCCAUUCACUUUCCCUUCCAUAUCAAGGUCCCAAAGGGGAGAUAAGUUUUGCUGGACUACAACGUCAUCAUCCAGAACCACAACCUUCUCCAAUUUGUCAAAUAAUUUGGGAAGAAGGUAGUGAGAUUGAGAGAAAAGGGAUAAGUAGUGUGUUCUAUUCUGUUGGGACGCCAAAAGGUCACCACUGGGGAAGGAAACACGGAACUCCGCAGGCAAAGACAAUUUCAUAUCAGAAUCGUCCAGCUCGAGUUUUUCAAUGUUCAAUACUUGAACAGUUGAUUGUUUGCAGGGAUUCCUAACAAACCAUUGUUUCAUUGCAAAGUAAUUCUGCUCGUCUGUCAGUACAUGGAAAACAAAGUUCUUACUGUCCUGAAACAUCGAUAACCAACCACAAAUUAGAAAUCAGAGUUCUUCGACUGCAUGAAAAAAUACUAAGUAAAGAAACUGGAUUUAAGACGCACCCUUGCGUGUACAACUGUUGAGUUGAUCACAACGGACGAUGCAAGUAUAUUAUCGGAGAUGAUAACAAAGUGAAGCAAUGAGGGAUCUGAAAAUUUCUCACUAAUGGGAUCCUCAAGUGAAGCUGACUUGAAAUGUUCCACAGUUAGUCUCAUUGACAAGCAAUGAAGACUCUUAGGCAUUGUCUGUACUGCAAGCUGGUAGAGGAACACACUCUGUUUCAUGUGGAAACUAGCUUCAUCCUCAGUCAAAUCAAGGAUCUGUCUCAAUUUCUUGUCAACAUUGUUACAGUCGACUGGAAAAGACUUUGCCUUUGCAAUUACAGCUUCCAUCUUCUGCAACUUUUUAUCAACCCUGACACACAGUGGAAAGAGAUACCUAAUAAGUACGAUUAAAGGAAAGUAGCAGAGGAUUCUACAGAUCAAAGCUUCUCCUGAAAGAGAACAAACAACAUCCAUGGCAUCCCUCUUAUCAUCUAUUACAUUAGUUUAUUAAAUUCUACAUUGGUUUAAGAUAUUGGGACAGAUAAGGCUUCAAAAUAGAGAUAUUUCUGGGUGUGCUGCCCACUGAAUAGGUGAAGAGAGAAUGUUAUGACAAAGAUUUUCUAUAACAUAAACCAUCUGAAAGAAAGUAAAACCACUAGUAAACAGGAUGUCCAGACAAGCUGACGGGAAACUAGGAGAGAUUCAUGUGACUAGAAUCCAACAAAAUCUUUUCCAGUAAGGAACUAACUUUCAGUACAAAAAUGAUUAAACCCAAACUGAUAGAGAACUUACUGUGGUGGAAGGUCAGCAUCUUGAGAACUUUCACUAAGAAUACGCUCAAACUCUUGGAUAUUCUGUUUCAUAUCCCGAGUCAACUUGCUUUGAGAAGGCAUUUUAGCAAUACUGGGAUAGUAUGCCCUAGCCACAAACAGCUGGUCCUUCAUUUGCUUCACCUUGGUAUCUUUCAUAGGUUCCUUAUUUUCCUCCCUCCAGAGGCAGUAGCUCCCAUAUUUCACUUCACAAGUUCUCCAAGUUUCAUCCCCACUUACUACUUUCCUCUGAACACCUUCAUAUGAGGCUUCAGAUUUUGUUUUCUGUUCACAGAAUAAGGCAGAGUAUGGUUAACUUUAGACGAUUGGUGAGAGAUAUAAAGAUGGCUACUAGCCUACUACAGAAACCACUUAAUCCAUUUGUACAUUUGCAGGGCUUGGGUUGGCAACAACAGUUGGGGACACUGGUAAUCCUACAGAUUAAUGGUGAGACCAGACGUUAAGAUUGCAGUUCAGAAUCAAAAUAAAACAAUGGGAGAGGAAUUUCAAGAAAGUGAAGCUUGUAAAGCAAACCUCUUUUUUUAGAAUCAGUGCCGCUUGUCACAUUCAUAUCUCUGGAACCCACAUUUAUGUCACUUUUCUAGCAUGUGAUACAAUGAAACAAAAACGUUAUUACAGAAAUUGUUACAAACAGAUUAACCAUCUCACCCAAGGAACUAAUUCUUGACCUUGCCCAAGACAAGUUGUGAGAUACAUGACGCAGCAUAAUUCAUGAAGGUAUCUCAACUUUCUAGUCUCAUAAGAUAGUCUAAUAAAAAAAUAAUUCAUUCAUAUAAAUUUUCUACCCCUUAAGCAACAUCAAACAAAAGAUACAACAACUGAUUAACUACAACCUUUUGACCUCUAGAUUGUUUGUUGUGGCAGUAAAGUUUUCAGAUUCACUGGUUAAUUAUGAGGCAUCUUGCAUAGCUUUCCAUAAAACAAACAGGUAUCUAAGGUUUCUCUAAUGUUAGCAUGGACAUCUUGUAAGAGUACUGUGCAAACCUGACACAAGCCAAUACAUUUACAAAUAGCCUCCUUAUCUCUAAUCAAACUACAAAGCCUUAUACAUUUUACAUUCAUCUGGAGAGACCAAGAUGUGAAACAUUAAUGCCAAGAAUUAUGACAGAAACAUUCUUCAAUAGUUGCAAAUUAUAACAUAUUAGACCAGAUCUGUAUGUUGUGUCAAGUAGAGAGCAGUGUGUAAGAUAAUGAAGUGCUUCCAACCACCAUAAAUGCUUAACUCUAUGGGUACAUUGAAAGAUCUAAAAUUUGUGUCAAAAACAACUUAUCUAUAUCCCCCAUGUAACAUAAAUGGAACAAGUCAAGGCCUUCACAAUCAUCUACAAUGAAACAAGUGGAACCCAAAAUGGAGAACCAACCUUGGGAAGAACUGGAUUGAUUUUUUGAAGAACCUCAUCGACCCGUUCGGAUACAUCUCUCUGCAAAACCAAAAAAGAAUAUAAAAAGCAGCAAAAAGAUGGGAAUCGAAUCAAUCAAAUGAGAGUGACAAUACCUGUGUAUGUUUGGUAGCAUUGAUUCUGGUAAAACUCUCAAACUGAUUCCAAAAGAAAGAAGAUUCAGAACAAAAUCAAAAAACCAAAACACACACAAAUAAAGAAACGAAAAAUUGCUUACAGAAGAAGCCGGUUGAACAGUGACAAAUCCUAAAAAGUGAAAAAGAUGAGAUUAGAUCUGAAACAGAGGUCGGCAAAAAGAGCAAAGAGAGUGUGAGAGAGAAUGAUAAGACAUACCAGGAGAGUGAAAGCCAUUGUGAAGACCGAGCAAGAAAGCAAGAGGAACAAGCAUAGAAAGAAUAACAAGAACCAAAACUCCAAUAACCAGAACUUUCCACCGGCGUUUUCCUCCGCCGCCACCUCCUCCACCACCGCCUCCGCCUUUCAUAUUCCCGAUUUAUAAUUGAAUGAAAUGUCUUUCCAAUUACGAACGCAUUGGAUCCCCAAAACGUUGCCAACGAUCUCUCUAUAUCACUCCUCGAUACACUCAAAUCACACUCUCGUUAACGAUGCCAAAUUCACUCUCUGUGUGUUUGCAAAAUGCACAAGUAUAAGUGUUUCUGCACUUAGCCCGAUCGCAUCGUCUCUUUCCCCUUUGCUUUUGCUACUUGGGAGGAAGAGAGAGAUACACACACACACACCCAACUCUUUUUUUCACACGUGUGGCUAUGUCUCUGCCGUUUGAUUAUUUACCCACUUGCAAGAUCUAUCUCCAGAUCAUAACACGUGUCUUUCUCACACGGUGGUGAAUUCUUAUUUUGUUUUUAAUUAUUUUUUUCAUCAUCGUUUUAUAUUGUCACUCGUUGAAUCCUAAACUCCGGUAUGCCUAGCGAUAUUUUUCAACGCCAUUGACGACACUUUAUAUACACUGGUAAAUCACUCCGCCUCCGUAUUUUCCUAUUUCCCGAUUUCGUUUUUUUUGUAUUAAGGAGUUUAUGUACGAUGAAUUUAGCUUAUUGAAGAAGAUGAAUUUAGCUAUAAGAGAAGAAGAUGAUUGUGAAAGCUUCUGAAAUCUUUAAUCCAUUUAGGUUUAGUCUGGUUUGCAAGUUUUUUUCUUUAAUCCAUUAAGCUUCUGAACCUGUCUAAGGUUCUUGUCUCAUCUGUUACUUCUAAAUCGACUGAGUUGGUUCUUUCAAUGUUUUCUGUGCUUUAUGUGAAUCAGUGACUGUUCUUUUAGUUUCGAUCAUGUUAAUGAUCGCGAGGAAAGCUUUGGCCUCAGCUCAUACUAAGGCUAUUCGUUUGACAACAAGGGACGUACAUUGUUUUAGUUCCAUCUUAGUGUCUCCUCCUCUGGUGUCCCUUGACUUGCCUGAAAAUUGGAUUCCUUACUCUGAUCCUCCACCACCUGUUUCCUUUGGUAUUACUCUUUGUUGCAUUUUCAUGGCUAUAUAUAUUACAAGUAAGUUCUCUUACUGUUUGAGUUGAUUUCUGAACUGUUUUGUGUGUGUGUGUGUGUGUGUGUGUGUAUGCAUUUAUACAGAGACUGAACAGAAGACUGUGGUGAUAGAUGGUAAUGUUAUCGCUGAGGAAAUUAGAACAAAGAUUAGUAGUGAAGUGAGGAAGAUGAAAAAGGCUGUUGGAAAAGUCCCUGGUCUUGCCGUUGUUUUGGUUGGUCAACAAAGAGACUCGCAAACUUAUGUUCGCAACAAAAUUAAAGCUUGUGAAGAAACUGGCAUUAAAUCUAUUUUGGCUGAAUUACCAGAGGAUUGUACUGAAGGACAGAUUCUUAGUAUAUUGAAAAAAUUCAAUGAAGACACGUCCAUUCAUGGGAUUCUUGUGCAACUUCCUUUACCCCAAGUAUGUUUCUCAUUUUUCGUUGUGUAAUAUGAAAAACGACAUUGUGAUGGGGGAUGUUAGUUUUGUUGAUGUCAAAGAUUAGUUCUCUGUUAGGAGGUCAAGUAGUUAUUUACUUUUGCCUUCAUACUUUUUUGUAGAAUUGUUUGAUUCAUAUAUUUUUCAUCGAUCAAGGACUCUAUGGUAGGUAAAGCAUCUAAUUUACAGAUUAUGCGCUAGAGCAUCUGAAUCAUCUUACUUGUGGAGAUCUUUUUUCAGGAGAACCUUCUUGUAUUUUGUUGGUUUACUUUCUUUUUUAUUUCUUUCUCAUGAGUACUAUCAUUUAAUGGAAGAUAUCUUGUACAGCAUCUUGAUGAAUCAAAAAUCUUGAAUAUGGUGAGACUGGAGAAAGAUGUUGAUGGGUUUCAUCCAUUAAACGUGGGAAAUCUUGCAAUGAGAGGGAGGGAACCGCUGUUUGUAUCUUGCACUCCUAAGGGCUGUGUGGAGUUGUUGAUAAGAGCAGGCGUUGAAAUAGCAGGAAAAAAUGCCGUGGUGAUAGGAAGAAGCAACAUCGUUGGACUACCAAUGUCUUUAUUAUUGCAGGUAUUAGUUCUUCUUUAUAGUGCAAGUGGAUUCGUAUGAUUAAACAUUUUGGUUUGGGAAUUAACUAUGCAUUUAUGUUUUCCUGAAAUUCUCGGGUAGAGACAUGACGCGACAGUAAGCACAGUGCAUGCGUUUACAAAGGAUCCAGAGCAAAUUACUAGGAAGGCGGAUAUCGUUAUAGCAGCAGCGGGUAUACCUAGUUUAGUUCGAGGAAGUUGGCUUAAGCCUGGAGCAGUUGUCAUUGAUGUUGGAACAUCUCCAGUUGAGGUAAAAACGAAACUAUUUUCCUAAACUGAUCAAAAGUCUUAAUACUUUCCAAUUUAAAAAGACUCAUACCAUAACAUGAAUCCAAUCUGAUACAGAAAAUCUUAAACUGAAUUAGGUUAGAGCUUAAAAUGUUUUUCCUUCAGAUUGUUUUAUUGUUUCUGGUUAGACAUUGAAGCAUGAUGUGAUAUAAUGUGGCAGGAUAGUAGCUGUGAGUUUGGUUACCGUCUUGUGGGGGAUGUAUGUUACGAGGAAGCAUUAGGUGUUGCCUCGGCUAUCACUCCCGUUCCUGGAGGAGUUGGACCAAUGACAAUCACCAUGCUACUAUGCAAUACUUUAGAUGCUGCUAAGAGGAUAUUUCUCUGAUCAUGGUAUCUCUGUCUAUUACUAAAUUUUGUAAAAUUAGAUAGGAGACUCCAUGUUGUGUUGGAGUUAUUAACAAUCUCUUUCAAUUUGAAUUAUUAUGUUGCUUUCUUAUAUAAUAGACCUGGCAAUUGUGAUGCCAUGGUUUAUCCUAACUCAUCAACAUCUUUAGCAUCAAGUUCAACUUUUAUUUUUUUAUUUUAUUUUAUUUUUUUAUUUUUUUUGGGCAACAAGCAUCAAGUUCAACUAAUCAAACAAUUCAUAUUUUUGUUGAUGCAAUGUUGUUCUUGUUUCAUUGGCUUUUAGAAGAUGAGAGAAUCCAUUUAGUUAUUAACUUAAACUUUAGGUAGUUGGAUCAUUGUACCUACUAGCAGCUGAAGUAGGAGAAAAGUUGCGUCUUACAUCAACGAUAAAAGAUGACUCAAGCAAAGAGGUGUCACAUAAAGGAUCACGAAAUAUUUGCUUCCUACAAUAUUUUACACGUCUUCUUAAAGUUUCACCUUCACAUUGUUUGCUUUGGUUCGGUUUAGAUUCUGUUUUUGCUGUUUUAUCACUUUUGUAAAACUCGAAACCGGUUUUUGAUUCUUUUUUCCUUCGAAACCAAAUAAUAUCUCUUAACCAAAACAAACCAAACGAUUACGAUCCGGUUUGAAGAUAUUUUGUUGUCCGGUAUAGAGAAAAAAAAAAAAAAGAAGGGGAAAAAUAGGAUUCUGAUUCCGAGUCUCUAGUUCCAAAGAGAAGAGAACGUCUGUGCGAGAGAUCUGAGACGUUUGGAAAUGUGAAGGAAACAAAAAAAGAGAGAAAAAAAAAGAUCUGAGAGAGAGUUUCGAAAUUCUUGUGUUUGUAAGCAAAAAUGGUUUGGGAGAAAGAGAAGAUCGUCGGAAGUUGUAUAGUCGGAGGAGCUGCGUUCGCCGUCGGAGCUUCUUUCCUUCAUCUUUUCCUUAAAGGUGAGCUUCCGUUAGGAUUAGGUUUAGGUUUGUCUUGUCCAUGGCGCAUUUUGAGAAAACGAAAACCUGUUCGCGUUUACAUGGAUGGUUGCUUCGAUAUGAUGCACUAUGGCCACUGCAACGCUCUUCGUCAAGCUCGUGCUCUCGGUGACCAAUUGGUGGUCGGUGUUGUUUCCGACGAAGAAAUCAUAGCUAACAAAGGACCUCCUGUUACUCCUCUUCAUGAGAGGUUUCUCUCGAGAUCACAAAUUCAUUGUUUUUGGUAAUUUCAAUUGCGUUUUGUUUAAUUGUGAUUUCGUUAUGUUUAGAAUGACAAUGGUGAAAGCUGUGAAGUGGGUGGAUGAAGUUAUAUCUGAUGCUCCUUACGCUAUUACGGAAGAUUUCAUGAAGAAAUUGUUCGAUGAGUAUCAGAUCGAUUACAUUAUCCAUGGUGAUGAUCCUUGUGUUCUUCCUGAUGGUACUGAUGCUUAUGCACUUGCUAAGAAGGCUGGUCGUUACAAGCAGAUUAAGCGUACAGAAGGAGUUUCUAGCACUGAUAUCGUUGGUAAUUUGACAUUGUCCCUUCUGAUUUCAUUUUAGCUCGCAUCAGCUGAUUUUUGAAAUGUCUAAUUUCAUCAUUUUCGAUUUGUAAUUUGUGAUUUGUGAUUUGUGAGCAGGUCGUAUGCUUCUUUGUGUAAGAGAAAGAUCCAUUAGUGACACUCAUAGUCGUUCCUCUCUGCAAAGGCAAUUUAGUCAUGGCCAUAGUAGCCCAAAGUUUGAGGAUGGAGCUUCUUCUGCUGGUACUCGCGUCUCGCAUUUUCUUCCGACUUCCCGCAGGAUUGUUCAGUUCUCCAAUGGAAAGGUAAGCAAAUUUUAAGAGUUUCUUGUCCUCAAGUUAAUGUAUUGCAUACUUGUAUUAAAAAGUUUAUCUUAGUAUUUGUUGCUUUAUGAUCUAGUAGGUAGAACAAGUACAUGAACAAUGAUUUCUAAUAGCUAUGCAAGUGACUCUGAGAGUCUGAGCUUACUGUUUAUCUAGUUGUUUUGGUUAUUAAAGAGAACGGUCUCAAACAGCAGUAUCAGCAGUUUCCUCAUCAUAAUUGAAUACUGUCUGGUUCAGUCUUGUUUCUUACCUCCUGAUCUAAUUAGCAAUUUACUGGUUCACACUUUCUAUGACUCUUUCACCAUUUUUUGGAUUCUUUUAUGUGCUUAUCUUAUAUUUUUCUUCUUAAGUGACAGAAGGUUGCUUCACAUCUCAUUUUAUGACCUAAUCCAAGUCAUACCUGCUAGAUGUAUCUUAAGAUUAUUUUUCUUGAUUGAUUCACGUUUCCCUUACUUCUGUCAUUUUACUCCAUUAUCUCACUUCUCAUAUAUUAUCUGGGGUUGAUCAAAUUUACAUUCUUAUUCUGACAGGGGCCAGGACCUGAUGCACGCAUAAUCUACAUCGAUGGUGCUUUUGAUCUUUUCCAUGCUGGCCAUGUUGAGGUAUAUUAAUGGGUGCAUACAACAUACAGUUCACUUUAUAUGUGAGGAGUGAUGUUUUAACACCGUUACACGAACAACGGGUGUAUGGUUAACCAUAUUAAUGAUACAUUUUAUGCUUAUAUAAAGUGAAAGUAGAAGUGAGUGGGAUUGAGCGACCAUUUAGUUUAUUCUGCCAAUUUGAUAUUUUUUAUUGAAUUACUUAAUUUGUACAGAUUCUUAGACGUGCUCGAGAGCUUGGAGACUUUCUUCUUGUUGGAAUACAUAAUGACCAGACUGUCAGGUUAAAAAAAGCUCAAUUUUGGCAGUUUGCCUUAUUGAUUUUCUCAGUUUAUUUGGUUAUAUUUCCUUUUCAUGUCCCCAUUCUGGUGUCUAACCUUAAUUCUUAGCUGUGUUGAGAAAUUUAGAUGUGCAUCUCUGCUUAAAUUUGUCUGACCAAAUUGUACUUGGUAUAUGUUGCUGUGCAGUGCUAAAAGAGGAGCUCAUCGUCCAAUCAUGAAUCUCCAUGAAAGGAGCUUAAGCGUUCUGGCAUGCCGUUACGUGGAUGAGGUGAUAAUUGGUGCUCCAUGGGAAGUGUCGAGAGAUACGGUGAGCUUCUCUGCACUUUGCUUAAUAACAAUACCCAAAUGGCUUUCAUGAAAUGCUAUUUUUGACAUUGAUUUGGAUAUUGCAGAUCAUGACAUUUGACAUUUCGUUGGUGGUACAUGGGACAGUAGCCGAAAGCGAUGAUUUUCAAAAGGUAAAACAACAUUCAAGUGUGUAUAUAUUAGGUCAAAGACAAAGAGCUAUGUAUGGUUUCUCAGAAUGUGAUUGUUGAUUUGACAGGAGGAAGAUAAUCCGUAUUCUGUACCAAUUAGCAUGGGCAUAUUCCAAGUUCUAGAUAGCCCUCUUGAUAUCACAACGUCCACCAUAAUCAGGAGGAUUGUAGCAAACCAUGAAGCUUAUCAGGCAAGUUUCUUUUCUUUGCUCAUUCUUAAUUUUCUUCUUCUUCUUGGUUUACUUGAACAUUGUCUCACUCAAAAUUGUUCUGUAAUCUAUAGAAACGUAAUGCGAAGAAGGAAGCUAGCGAGAAAAAGUAUUACGAGCAGAAGUCGUUUGUGUCCGGAGACUGAUAGAGCUAUUUGCUUUAGUUUUUUAAAUCUAUCUACAUCUUGUACUUUGACUAUAGUAGGAUGUUUUUGGUUGAGACUCCAAUGCUACAUACAGUACUACAUUUUGUUCUCUAGUUUAUACUUUACAUAAAGAGGGGCAUUGAUGGUUUUAGUACCAAUUGCUUCUUUUAUUUUCACUCUUUUGGAUCUUUCAUUUUACCUUUUACUUACUUUAUUGACUGCCACAAAUAUUUUUAGAUUGUGCAUGUGUUACAUAUAUAAUAAUUCUUAUAAGUUAUAAGCUGCCUAUAAGUCACUCACAAUAAUGAUUCUUUUUAUAUUCUAUAAUCUAAAGCAAAACACAUAAAUUCAACUUACAAUAUUGUUUUCAUCAACCAAAAGAUAGAGUCUUUCAUUUUACGUAGUUCCACGAAGGCAUUGGGAACUAACUGAGAAACAAAACCAUUAUUAGCACUAGGGGAAAAUCCGGGCUACGCCCGGAAUUAUUUUUAUUUUUUGUUUAAAGCGAAAAAUAUAUUUGAUAAUUGAUAUCUUCUAAAUUAGUUAUUUCAGGUUUAAAUUCAUGUUUAGUUUUUAGUAUAUACAUACUAAAAAUAUAAUAUGAUAUUGGACAUAACAUUUCAAUUAAAAUAACCUAUAUGAUACUAUUAAUGUUUAAUUAUAUUUAUCUAUAAUUUUUUCAUCUUAAUUUAUAAGUACAAAUUGUUUCUUUUUUCUUACUAUUAUAGUAUUAUUAGUCUAUAUAUUAUUUUUCUCAUCUAUAUCCUCAUAAUUUAUUUGUAGUUGUUUCUAAUUUUUGUUUCGUUAACCAUUUCUAUUAGUGUAGUUCCUUUUAUACUUUAUUUUUCAUUUUAAUAAUGUAUUCUUUUCCAACUUUUUGUAGUUAUAAAAAUUGUAUUAAAUCUUAAAGUGGGAUGCACACUGAACAAUUAAACUAUUAACAUCCUUGGACUAUAGAUUUUUUAUUGAAAACUUUUCUUUCAUUCAUUCAAAUUUGUGGGGAUACAAAUAUAAUUGCAAUCUCAAACACAUCAUGAGAUGCUACAUAAAUUGAAGAGUACAAUAUACAAUAUAGAGAUAGAUGUGCAUCCUUGGACUAUAUAUGUCGAAAAUCUACUUGCUCAUGUACAUCUUUUUUUUUUUUUUUGCCAAUAACUCAUUUACAUCUUUUGUUAUUACUUAUUUGCUUUCAACUAUUUCUUAAUGAUUGCUUCACCAUUUUGGAAUCUAAUCUCAAAUCACAAACCACCAAGAAGUGGAACAAAUCAUUGUUUAUAAUUUAUCAUAAUUUUACGAUAUGAAGAAUUACAAUUCAAAUCUAAUAAAUUCUUUAAUCUUUUUACUCUUGGGUGCUUCUGUAUUUAGAACUACACAUUAUUUAAUUAGUUGUUAACACUUUUACCAUGAACCAUGUGGCUACUACGCAAACAUUAAAUUUGAAUUGAAGAGCUGGACAGCAGGUGACUAAACAAUCAAACUAUCACAGAAGCUCGAGACGCAUAAUAAUUCUAUUGAAUACUACGAUCGAACAAACAUUAGAGCUAACAUGACUAAUAGUAGUAGAAGAUGCCACAAAAAUUCCAAUGGAUCUUCAAAUGACAAACAGAUCAAAUAAAUAAGUAAUAAAAAUUCAUGAAGCUUUUGAUACUCUUGUUUAACUCUACGAACUUGAGUAGGAAGCUACAGUUGCAGUCUCAAAACCUGCAAAUGUUGAACAAAUUAAGUGUGUAGAACCAUGAUUUAGAACGUAGAUUUGUGUAACUGGGAAAAUAAGGCGAUGGAAAGUUCUGAGGAAGAGGAGUAGCCAAGUAGGAAGUAGAAUAGUUUCUUAUAAAACUAUUGAGCUUGAGAUACGCUUCAAAGCCGAUUUGCAGCAGAUAUAAAUCCUUGCACUGCGUUUGACAGUAGGCUAAAUGAUUAGUUCGUACUCGUGUUGGUUGUGUAUAUAGAGCAUAUAAUAUGCGUACCUGGGAGUUGAUGAGAAGUAGUUCAAGAAUUAGUCGGACUUAGACUAAUUCUUCCAAACAUAAAUCUCCAUCAAUUUCAUCCACAAUUUGAAAGGUGGCUGGGGUGACGGCUGUUUUGACUGUAGUGAGUGUUUGAGCGUUUUGGUUUGUUUGUAUGCUUGGUGAUCUGAGGUUUUAUAGGGUUAAUUUCCGCAAGAAGCUAUGAUUUUGACAGUAGUGGUCAUUGAUUUCGUUCGAUGUUAAUUGAUAUGAAUAAAUAGGGGAGUGAAGAUGACGAAGUGGCGAUUUGAUAACGGUGGCGUAUUCAAUUUUUGGAGAAAACUGAAUCGAUUCAGUUUGAGAGGAUAGAGAAGAUGGUCGGAGAUGAUGAGGAAGGAUGACUUUUGUUUUUUUUUUUUUUUUUUUUGUGAACUGAUUUUAGGUUUUAAUGGGCUAAUUGAUAUAGGGUGUAGGCCUGGGCUUUCGGUUAUCCGUUCGGUUAUCGGUUGGGUCCAUUCGGUUUUUGGUUCUUUCGGUUCUAAAAUUUAGUAUCCAUUCGGAUAUUUUGAAAUUUCAGUUCGGUUUUGGUUUGGUUCCGGUUCUUUCGGUUUUAAAAUUUAGUAUCCAUUCGGUUAUUUUGCUUAGGAUAUUUUCGGAUAUUUCGGUUAUUUUUGAGUAUUUUCGAAUAUUUUUGGAUAUUUUUCGGUUAUUUUUGAGUAUUUUUACUAUUUUUAUAGAUUUUUCAAGUAUUUUUGAUUAUUUGGUAUAUAAAUAACUAAUUAUUUCAAAAAUAUAAUUGUAUUUUGGGUAUUUCGGUUACCCGAAAUAUUUCGGUUCGGUACCGAUUUGGUUACGGUUAUUUCGGUUAUCAAAUUUAGUAUCCAUUCGGUUAUUUUCAAAUUUUCGGUAUGGUUCGGUUCGUUUUUUUUUGCUUCGGUUUCGGUUCGGUAUAUUCGGUUCGGUUUAAAAGCCCAGCCCUAAUAGGGUGGCUACGAAAUUAUUACGCUUUUAUGUUACGUGUUCAGUAUAUGGGCUUCUUAUCGUUAGGCUUUUUUUGUUUAAGAGUGGGCUUCUUAUUAUUGUGGGUAAACGUUUUUUCUUAAAGAAUUUUUUUGGCGAUGCUGAUGUGGCGUGAGGAGAGAUUGUUUUUAAACUUGCUGAUGUGGACAAAUUGAGAAGCUUCAAUGAACACAGGGCCGGCUCAAUUAAUUUUGAGUCCCGGUACAAAUUUUAAAAAUUGGCCUUUUUCAUACGAAAAAAAAAAAUUGGGCUUUUUUCAUGUUAAAAAAACUUAAAAAUUAAUCACUUUCAUACUAAAUAAAAUAUUUAGGUUUUUUUAUAAUAAAGAUAUUUUAAAGUUUUAAAAAUUACAUUUUUUUCUAUACGAAAAAAAAUUUAGGCCCUUAAAUUUACCCAAAAAAGUUGGACCCGGUACAAUUGCUCCACUUGCACACCCCAAACGCCGGCACUGUUUAGAUCAUCCACAAAUUGUGUAUGUGACUUGCAUGAUGAUUCCAUGAUAACCGUCAACUAGAACAAUUGUAUGUUAUUUGUAGCCUGAUAUUUUUUUUGGAAUACCAAAAUUUUUAACUUACAUUCAAAAGUUUGGCAUACCCAAAAAACUACCAGACCAUGAGAUAAUGAAUAUACAUCCGACAAAUUUUUUUGCAACUAUUUGAUAAUUUUUCAUCUCAACUGAACGUAAUUUGUGUUAUCAAUUCAUAUGAAGAUAAUAUAUUAGGUGAGAGUCAUCCAAGCAAUCAUCUUCUCAUAUACAAUACAUAUGAGGUUCAAUCUAAGAAAAACUAUACUUUUUCAAAACAAAUUCAUACAUAUUUUUCAUAAACAUACAAUGAGUGUUUUAAAAUAUUCAGUCUAAUACUAUUAAUAUUGUAUAUUAUUAUAUUUUCAAUUAUAAAUUUUGAGAUUUCUGAUGUAAGUCAUGUACAGAUAUUGAACGACCUAAAUGGACAAACUACCAUACUAAAAACAUGUCAUAAUAUACCCUUUGUCUCCCUCUAAACUAAUACGAUCACCGCUACUGCUUUUGCAGAACGCAACCACCUCACCGUUGAUUUUCCUAUAAUCAUAUAUGAUCACCCCAUGAUAAUCUUGGAAUAUUGCGUUCUUUCCAAAGGGUCCACGAUAGAUGUUAUCGGAGUCAAAUAGACCCUCAUAUGCGACUAAAGUCGCUCCAACCGGGUGUGUUCGAAGACCCUUUAAUGCCUGUUUGAAGGUUUGAUACCUAUAGAUGGCUGUGGUGUUGAACAUUUCUUCGUCUGGAAUAGGUAACCACUUUGUAGUACAUGAAGGUCUCUGCCCGUUUAUAUCCAAUCGUUCUCUAGGGAUACCAAACUUCUUUAUAUAAAUUAAUGCUUCUUCCAAAUCCCCAGGAUAACACUGAUGAGCCUGACCAUCACGUAGCGUUUUAGCAUCUACAUACUUGUGUGGAUUGACCUUUUGCAAAAGAUAUCUCGUACACAGCCGGUCAUACUUUUCUUCCCAACCAUGUAAUACACGGGAUGCACUUACCAGGUCAGUGGAAACGAAAGUCCGACAAUCAUCAUGAAAUAGUUUUUGUAAAACUCAACAAUUACAUUGAAGACAGAGAAGAUGAGUCACCAAGCUUACAUAUGAAAAGACAUUCAUUCACAUUUCGACAGCUGUACCAUUUGUUUGAAGCACAGUCUUUGAUUAUAUGUUAUUUUAGCUUAUUUAAACUAUAUGUCAUUUAUGACAUAUAUAUAUAUAUAUAUAUAUAUAAUACAUUCACGAAUGUUUGCUGUAAAUAAUACUUCAUAUAAGGUUUUUUACUUGUAAAUUUGAACUAAUUUUACACCCUAUUAUAUUACUCAAUUUGAAUCAUGAAAAAUUCAGCACAAAUUGUGGUUUAAUUCUACUCAAAUCAAGUUAAAUAAUGGGAAUGAAAAAAAUAUAUAUAAAAAAUCAAGAAGUCAAACAUUGAUUUGGCAGAGAUCCAGGUUGAGACUCUGCAGAGAGGUUGAGACUCGAUGCCCGGCAAAUAUUGUACAUGUUAACAUAAGAGAUUAUUUGGUUAUUACUAGUAUCCUUUUUAUUUCCUUUAAUAAAAUGGUACAAACUUAAAUUUUUAUUAGCUUUGGUUGUAACUAAGUUAAUACUAUCAAACCAUGAAAUGACCGUUUUGUUGGGUCUCUUCUACUUUUUUCAGAGGAGUUUUUAUAAGCAAGUUUAAAAGUUUUGACUUUUGACUCUAAAAAAGUUGUAACUUUUUGCAUAUCUUUUAUACAACAAAAAUUAGUUCUUGCUCUUCUUAUUAUUAGUCUCAUCAUUUUCAUUGUACAGAUUGUAAAUCUUACUGUUGGUUACAUGAUCUUGUCGGUAUAUAAAUUCAUUCAAAGCCCAACUAGAUUUAAAAGCCCACUAUUGGCCCAGCUUCAUUUUUUUUUUCUUUUUGUAUCUAUGUGUACACUUUCCCUUCACCGCAAGAAAUCAGAAGAACAGAAAAAAAGGUUUUGAAGGUUGAAACAAUGACGACGACGAUUUCCAAUCUUCCAAAGGAUUUGAAAGAGGAGAUUCUUUCUAGGGUUCCCUUGAAAUCUAUUAAAGCAGUGAGUACAGUUUUCAUCAAUAUAGUAUAUUUUAUAAUCUAAAGCAAUACACAUGAAUUCUACUUGCAAUAUAGUUUUCAUCAACUGAAAGAAAUAGUCUUGCACUUAAAGCAGCUCCGCAGAGGCAUUGGCAGCUACCUCGCUUCUGUUGAGAAUAACCGAGAAACAAGUUCCAGAGCUCCCCACAUAGGUGCAUCAUUCUGUUUUUAGACCCACAAAACAUAAAAACUUUUAUUAGCAAUUUCCAGGUUGUGAAAGAUCAUCUAUAAAUUGCGUAUGGAACUUACAACAUAAACAAGAUCAAAUGACUCGCGGUAGCUUUCAAGACUCUUCUCAAUGUUAUCGUUCCUGUAGAAAUAAGAUUAGUAGUUAUGAGGAGACCGAAACAGAGAGGAGGCAAAAUAGAAGAAGAGAAAAACUCACAGAAACCCAAUAGAUAUCCGAGUUUCAUAAUCCAGUCCAUCAGACAUCCUUAAAUCCCCCAAAUGAUCUCCCAUAAGCAAAACGUUCCUUCGCUCUUUCAUGUUUACAUUUUCUUCAUCUUCCUCACCAAUGUCAACACCAAGUCGAUCAUGAAGUGGAGCAGCCAUGUCUAAAGCGUGUUCGUUUUUGUUUAGCACGUGAAUUAGCUUUCCUGUAUUAUGAAAGGUAAAGACACUAGUUUAUAAUAGCAAGACAUAAAUCAAAUGCUUGAUACUUUCCGGGAGAGAUUUCAGUUUUCCAGAGGAAAAAUCACAAAUGUGAGUUGAUGAAUGCGCUUAAAUGAAUGAUGAAACACCAACCAAAUAUACCUUUGAAAGACACGAGCUGUCCAUCAUCAUUGAACACCAUCCAGUUAGAUACAAUCUUAACAUUCUUGAAAGUUCUACCAAGGUUCUGCCUCAAAACCUGGUAAGAAAGUGAAAUGUUCAUUAUAGAGGCAGCAGAAGUCAUUAUAGAGGCAGCAGAAGUAGGAGAGUAACUCUAAUUAACUAAUACUCUUUAGAGUCACCUCUUCAAUGACAUCAGCAAGUCCUGCUGAAAAAAUCAGAACUGGGAUCUCCUUUUUCUGAAAAAUAUUGCAAAUAAGGUCGAUUAAGAUACUAAUGGCUAUGUCUUUCACCAUUAGAGUAUAACUCAGCAAAACAUGAUUGCAUUCCUUUUUACCUCCAAAAAUUCAAAAAGCUCAGUCACACCUUCUCUAAAAGCUAUGGAGGAAUUCGCAACAGAUUUCUUGAUUGCCUCAUAUGUUAAACCUCCCUCAAUGAGAAGCUCAUGAGUUUUACUCCACCUCAUCAUUGACAACAACAAAAAGUUUAUCACUUGUUUGUCCAAAUAAGAGUAUCAAAAGACAGGCCAAAUGCGAUUGAUAAGAAGAGAAGAGUAUACCACUUCCAUGAGUUUGGUUUUCUCAUCAAUGGGAAUAACAGGAGAAAUCUCAAGAGGAUGAUAGUGAUCAUAUAAUGCUUGCCUCUUAGCAUCGUAAUAUGCGUUUCCUUGCUGCAAGAGGCCAUGACUGGCUAUAUAAAGGUUUCAGCUUUACUUGAAUUUGGUUAGUGAGAAGAGAAGAUUACAAUUGAUCAAAUGUGUAUGAACAUACUCUGCCCUCGAAGUCCACUGACUCGGUAUUUCGUUAAUGUCGCAUCGAAAUCUGCAAUUACCUUUACAAACAAAACAACACAAAGUUUUAAUCUUUGAGAACAAAACUUGGACAUAGAUUCGGAGAUAGGAGUGGGAAAGACCUGGAAUUUGGAAGGACCCGCGUCACGAAUUAGGGUUAUCUUAUCGGUGAGAGCUCGAGGAUGAGCUAUCACAGGCUGUUCCAUUUGAUUCUUAGCCAAAGAGCAAUUCUGAGAGAAAAAGGGAAAAACUUUAUACGGACAAUGUCUGAGAGGGAGACUGACCACAGAGAUACAAAUUGACGACGGCGCGUGGAAGCGCGUGCAGCAGCUUGUAAUGAGCAUUAAGCAAUUUUAUGUAUCGCCCACUACUUAAAAACUUAUACAAAAAGUACCAAACACCACCAAUUUUGCUUAGUAGUCAGUAGUCACAGAUUUAAAUCAAUCAAAAGUUUGUCAUGUUAAAGCUGCUACUAUCUUCAAUAACACUAGUCUCAGGCUCAAGGUCAGAGAGACUGAUAGAUUCAAUGAGAGGAGUGGAACAGCAGGGGAAAUCAAGAGAUGGGUGACUCUGAUACUUGGAGAGAAGUUACAGGUAAAUGAUUGUGCUUUUGUAUCUCUGAAACUCAAUUGAAUGUUAUGUAAGGUUGACAGUGGUCACACUUGUUACAGAGCAAGACAUUGACAAGGGAAUGCUUCGAGAUGCUCUUGGAACCUAUUCUUUCGACGUGCUAUGUAUUCUUUGACACAGAAUUAAACUUAUUAGCGUGUUUGGUUGUCUAUGUCGUACAUUGGAAUUGUGAGAACAUUUAUAAACACCAUAUACGAGCGAUGUCAAUAUCAUAUAGUAUUCAAGAAAUUCACAUUCAAUUUUUACCUCUCGUAACAUGUUAAAACUACUAAAGAUAAAAGAUCAUUGAACCUUACAAAAUUAUGAUUUAUUAAAAGUACGCUACACCCCAAAUAUGUUGAUAAUUUCGUAUUAUAACCUCAUUCGGUUCAUAUAGAUCGGUUCAAUCAAUUAAAAGCAUUAUAUUCAGGUUUUUUGACUAGUACAAAGUAAGAUGAACAACUGAAUAACAUAAUAGCUGAAUUAUGACAAAAAUUUAAACUGAACACAAAUGAUUCUUUAUCUUAAAAUGCCAAAAAGGUACUAGUGUAGUAAGGUGAAUGAAUUUUUUCGAAAUCUAUUUAUAAAUUUAAAACGUGAAUUAAAAAAUCACUUGUUAUUCGAUAUCAAAAAGUUAAUAAACAAAAAGAGAGAUUUAUGGGUUGUGAAGGCCCAAUUGAAGCCCAGAAAUGAGUUGGCCGGAUGGAUAAGGGUAUAUAAUCGCGUGGACAAACCUAAAUCGACCAAAAAGCCGCUCUAAUGACGCCGAAAAUUCGAACAGCAAGAACCUUGAGGACGAGUAGGGAGAAGAAGCGUUCGGAAGAAAUUAUGCCUAGUGUAAAUUCUUCCAUCAUUCUUUUUUUAACCAUGAACGGGUUUUGGUUGGUCAUGAGUGUUCCUUUAAUUUCGGUCGAAUUUGUCACAAUCCUCAUCUGCUUCUCUAGUCUAGAGGUUCCUUCUUUCUGGAUUUGUUGGUCACGGCUAGUGUUCCUUUGAUUCGAGUUUUUUUGUCACACUCCUCUGCUUCUAGGGUUCCUUAUUUUUUAUUGAUGUGAACUUAAAAUUUUGAUGGACUAAUAUAUCUGAUUAUUUUGUAUAAAUGGGUCUUAUAUAGCCGUUCGUUACCAAUGGUACGGUCGUAUACGGUUCGUAUAGACUGAAGGAAGUGAUCUGUAAUGAUCGGUCUCCUUGUUGUAGAUUAGUCGAGCUUUAUGCUAAGAUGGGCCUCCAUCGUUACAAUUUGCUUAAGGUACUUUCUUCCUUCUUUCUUUAUAUAAUCUAUAUUCUAUACUAGUAUUAAUUACUUACUUAAUCAAUGUCUUUCUUGAUGUGUACGUCAAUUAGGGUGAAAACUAUCAGUUCGUUUGCGUACAGAAAUACCAUUACAGAUUGAUUCUGGCUCCUUCCACUUACUUCAUAACUGUGGUUGCCACGGAUCCAUCUACCUCAUUGCCCCAAACUUUUCAUAUUAGAAUUGAGGAAGAUCGGCAUGCCGCCUUUAUUUUGAAGUGCAAUAUUUCUAGGAUCCAAGGUAAAAAUGCAGACUUGUUGUGCUAUUUGUUGCAAUAUUUCUUUGUCUUCCACUUGCUGAUUUU